rnacentral:lncRNA from 1 species
CGGGAGACUUCCGUUGGCUCUUGAGGUGAUUGGUUCAUUCCUCUGCCACAAACCACAAGAACUAUGGAAAGAGACAUUGCAUAAGUUAAGAAAAGCACCUCAUGAGGAUGUUUUUGGAAAGUUGAAGAUCAGCUAUGAUGCCUUAAAUUUCAAGCAAAAACAAAUUUUCCUCGAUAUUGCAUGCUUUUUCAUCGGUGAAGAUAAGGCAAAUGCAAUCUACCUAUGGAAAGGUUGUGAGGUUUUCCCAGAUACAGGAAUUGCUGCCCUCAUUGGCAUGUCUUUGGUGAAGAUCGUGGAGAAUGAUAAGUUUUGGAUGCACAAUCAACUUAGAGAUCUAGGAAGAGAAAUUGUUCUCCAAGAGAAUCCAAUAAAUCUUGAGGAGCGGAGUAGGAUAUGGAUUAGGGAGGAGGGCCUUCAUGCAAUAAGACCAAAGGAGGUAAAGCACUUCUAGAGAGAUCUAACUAGUUUUUGCCAUAGAUUCCACUACAUUGUACCUUAUUGGGUUUUUGUUUACUUUCCUUUUUAUAAUCCUUUGGCUUUAUGAGAUAGAAUACUAACAUCACUCAUUCCCCAUUCUCAUUUGCAGAUAAACAAAAAGGUUCAAGCACUAUCCCUUUAUUCAUCUAGACAAAGUAUGCUUGAUGACUUUGUUCAAAUUAAAAGGAUUGGAAGGUUUGAACAUCUAAGGUUCCUUAAAUUAUCAAAAUUAACCCUCAUUAGAGAUGCAACAUUUCGUCUUCCCAAAUCAAUAUUGAUUUCUUUGAAUUAUCCUCUGCAAAAACGGACCAACAUGUACCUAAAGAAUUUAGUUGUUCUUGAAUUUGUCGACGUUAUUUUCGCAGAUGAUCUGGGAUUACAAAACUCACUUAAGGUGCGCAAUAUUCUUAUUCCUAUUUUUUUUUUCUUGGAAAGUAAUAUUUGAUUGUUCAUCUAUUGAGUAUUGCAUUCAUUUUGACAGAUGGCAACAAAAUUGAAAGUUCUUUCUUUUGAAAAUUGUUGGAACAUAAUCAGAACACUCGAUUUCUCUGGAUGCCCGAAUUUAGAGAAGCUUAAUUUCAAAUGGUGUAAAGAUUUGAGGAAAAUCAGUGGCUCUAUUGGGAAGUUGAAGCGUCUAAUUGACUUGAGGAUUUAUAGCUACAAUUCUCUCAAACAUUUGCCUGAAGAAAUUGGGGACCUAGUGAAUCUACAAUAUUUUGUUGUAGAUUGUUAUAAAAUUAAGAGACUCCCGAAUUUCAUAGGGAAGUUGAAAUCAUUAUGUGAGUUGCACUUUAAAGGUUGCAUUUCUCAUAAUUUAGAUUCUGCAAAUUCAUGGAAUUUACCUUGUGUUAUUGAAAUGCUCCAGAAUCACUCUUUAAAAGAUCGACUUCCUUCUGGCAUUGGAAGUUUGCCCCUUCUAAGAAUCCUAAAUCUAUCAGGAACUUGUGUCAGUGAAGUUCCAAAGACCAUCAACAUGCUUCCUUGCCUACAAAGAAUCGAGUUGAUGGGAUGCAAUAAUAUUCAAGAGUUGCCAACCCUCCCAACAAGUUUAACCCAUCUAGAAGUGUCAUCUAAAUUGUUGCGGGUAGUCUCGGAUCUUUCAAACUUGACUAAUUUGGUUGAGUUGUAUCUAUCAGGAACUCAUGUCAGUGAAGUUCCAAAGACCAUCGGCACGCUUCCUCGCCUACAAAGAAUUAAGUCGAUACGAUGCGAUACUAUUCAAGAGUUGCCGACCCUCCCAACAAGUUUAACCCUUCUAGAAGUGUCAUCUAAAUCGUUGCCGGUAGUCUUGGAUCUUUCGAACUUGACUAAUUUGAUUGAGUUGCAUCUAGUUGAUUAUGGAAAAGUAAGAGAUAAACUUUGUACCGAUGAGUUACGAUGGAUUGGGAAGUUAUCCAAACUGACAAAAUUGACCGUCGGACUUCACAAUGCCCCUGUUCCUAUUGAGAUGGCUUCCCUUCCUGUGCUAAACAAACUUUUGUUGUUUGGAUUCAACCAACAAACCUUUCCACAACUACCCCUAUCUCUGGAAAGGUUAAGGCUUGGAAAUUUCAAUUCAGCUGUGUCACUCUCUCCGAACCUAAGAAAUUUGUUAUGUUUAGAACUAUAUAAUUCUCCAAUGCAAGAAAUACAACUUGAUGGGUUUCGACUUCCACAGCUAAAGGAGUUGCGUGUGGAAGGCUGGCAACACCUUGAAAGGUUGAGGCUAUCAAGAAUGAGGAAGCUGAACGAUGUCAACGUGAAUUUGUGUAUGAAGUUAGUUGAGAUCCAAUUUUCUUGGGUGUUUGAAUCACUAGAGGCAUUGGAUAUUGGAGAUGGCGAGUCCUUGGAAAGGAUAGUUUAUGAGUCUGAUAAUGAAUUUAUUAGUUGUGAAGGGAGGCUAAUUUUUCCAUCGACAGUCUUAAAUAAGUUGCAUACUCUCUCCCUGUGGUGUUGCCCUAAGAUACUCGACGUUCAAGUUGUGGGUACGUUGGAAUCGUGGGAACGCUUAGCCAUUGAGAGUUGUCCUUACUUGCAACGUCUCGGUGGUUUGUCAAACUUAAAGAAGCUAAAGUCUUUAUCAAUCAGGAGCUGUGAGAGGCUACGGGAUGUUGAGGGCAUCGACGAGUUGGAGUUUUUGAACCAUUUAUCACUUUAUAGUUGCACAUCGUUGGAAAGGUUGAUUGACGUGUCAACCACCAAACUGCCAAAUGAUUGCCAUGUACAGAUCCAAAAGUGCGGGAGAUUACCUGGGUUUAAGAAAGGAUUCAGCGGCUCCGUCCAGUCCUUCAAGCAUUAUAAGGCGAGCCUGGAUCAUUCUCUCUAUUUAUUUUUUAUAUUUUCUUGACGCAACCGUCCAUGAACACCAAUUCAACUCUAAGGUAGAUUUGUAAUAAUGGUGAGAAAUUAAAAAAUAAACAAAAAUCAACUAAUAUUUGAUGUCACUUAUUUUAAAACCCACUCGAUAUAAUUUGUUUUAGUUUUAGCUCAUGUUUUCUCAUUUUCUUUUCUUUUCUUUUUUCACAUGAGAAAGUUCUAUAUGUGAAGCAAAUCUAUGGGACAAGGUCAGCUUUUAUCAAAAGUCAUUGGAAAAAUUGCAAUUUUUAGCAAAAAAAUAUAUAAAUUAACUCAGAGUUUUUCAUUAAAAUGUUAUUUUCACUUAAUAUGAAAUGAGUUGUUCAUUUAGCGAAUUUUUAUGUAAUACACUCCACUUUAUUGUCAUUUCUUGUUUAAUACUAUUCAGUAUGGAGAUGAGUUUAGUGAUUUGCAAUUUUCACAGUGAAAAUAGAACACUAAAAGAAUCCUAUACUCAUUCCACAGUUUCAAUAAGAAUUUGCUGAGGGAAUUCUUUCAAGAACACAACUUAAAUGGUCCACUGAUCCACAAAUCGACUGACUUAUGUUAUUGAUGGAGUUGAGUGUGAAUUCAAUUGGCAUGUGGAUGGGGUCGGCCAAAUAAGAUGCGUGUUCCAAAAGCAUCUAGAAAUAUUUAUUAAGAUUUAUCAUUCUAAAGAAAACAAUGAAAAUCUAAUUUUUGAAAGUCUGCAUCCCCCCCCCCCCCCCGGGGUUUUUGACCGUGUUUGUUUAUGGCCACUUUAAACAUCGUUCAGACAUUUAUUUUUUCAGUUGUGAGGCAUUUCAUUUCAUUUCAUUGACCUGCUUCCACUACACUAGAUAGAGAAGGGGAAAAUGAGGAGAAAAUGCUUCAUCUACUUAAUUUCUAACUAGCCCCGGUCUUCUUCUUUUUUUGGGUAAGAACAUAUUGUUAUUUCUAUCUUAGAAGCUUAUAUCUAAGGCAGAUAAUGGGUCAGACCAAUAAAAUGUCUUACUAAUGUCAUGGACAUAGGUAGCGUACGAGUCAAAGACAGGGCAGAUGGCUACAAUGUAAAAUUGUUUAAAUUUGGUGAAAUGGAAAAUCGAACUCGUUUGAUGUGCAUUAUCCACAUACACAAUUUCGUUCUAAUCCUACAUGAUUUACAACAUUUUCUUGUGCCAUAUUGUUUCCUCUUCUAUAUUGAUCCUUUCUCUUAUUUCAAUCUCAACAAAUAUAGCCCAAACUUGUAUGUAUGACUUUCAUCAGUAUCUUUUGAGGAUUUUAAAGCAACUCCUAUCUUUUUUAUUGCAUUAUUUUAAUCAUGCCCUUCCUUUUUCGAAAGCUUUCUCCUAAAAUUGGUUAUGAUUUUAUUUUUCAGGAAUCGGACUUUGAUUCGACAACAUGUUUCGGACACUUGUGAAGUUUUGAAGGCAAUCCACACGAUAAUUGUUAUAUUGCAGGGACAAAACUAGCAUAAUAUCUUAUCAGGGUCAAUGCACUGAAGAGUCCAAAGGUUUCUGAGAAUGAUUUCCAACCAGGACAUCAGCUUAGGAUGCAGGUGUGACCUCAUCAUUUUCAAGCUAGAAAGAUGAUUUACCCUUGUGGCAGAAUUAAGAGAGUUGUUGUUCUUCACAUCAACAUUUCUUUGAAUCCUUAAAGGAUUCCUUGCUUGAAUUAGUUAUUUCAAAUUUGUCCCAUCUCUUUUUGAUUGGUCUUAGACAACUCAUUCAAAUUGCCCAUCUUGCAUGAAGAACUGCAAACGUUUAGUACAAGCAGAUUAAGCAUAUGCAGAAUAAUGUUGUGUGAAAGGCCUCAUCCAAUAUAUGAAAUCUACUUGUUAGAGCUGGCAAUCUCUCCAAGACGGGAUAUGACAUAACAUAAACAUCAUCAUACAUAGAACAAAAAUGGUGUGGCAUUGAUACAUCAUGCUCUCUCAUUUCAGGUGACCCAACAUGAAUAUGUCAGGCCACGGCACAUUGUGAGCCCUACUUCCAGGCUUGUAUCUUCUAGCAGCUAAUUCAGUCAUAUGUGUUGGAGAAAUCUCUCUAGAGUGUUUUGAAGCUGACAAAACGUUUCUAUCAGUCUAGUCUGGAAGCUGUGCAGAUCCUUGUACUUAGAGUCUGAAGACUUUUAGAUCACCAGACUCAGCACACAAGACUCAAGACUCAAGACUAUUCUCAUUGACAGUUUCUAAUCUAGAGACGAAGGCGAUCCAAAGCUAAAGUGUUUGGUUAAGGAUUUGGUCUUGUCGAUUGGAGAAGAUCUCCUGGCUGGAUUUGAUACAACGGAUUAAUUAUUCGAAAUCAAGAUCGUUUGAAGAUCCGAUAAUUGACGAAAUAUUCUUGGAAGGUUCUAUUCUUGGAAACCAAGAUCCUGAUUGUAUGGGCGAACGUGAUUGAUGGGCUAUCGACGUGUUCCUUUAAUAGCUCGAAUGACCUUCUUAAUUGAUUCUGUCCAACGGGAAGAUUGGAAGAAUUCCUUUGGUAAGUGCCAACGGGUAUGAUGGCAUAAAUGAGUAUAAAAAGAAGACGUUCCAGUUAUUCUAGUAAGUGCUCGAUAGAGAAAUUCCAGAGUCUAAAGCUCCUUGAUUAUUAGUCGAUUCAUAUUGAGCGAAACUGUACUCACAAAGAGAGUCUAUACUUAGUGAUACCUUGAGAGAGUGUAAUAGAUCUUCUACACCAAGAAAUCAAGGAAGAACAGUGCUGUAAUAUCUUUUUGUUCAUAGUGGAAUCCAGCCAGUGGGCUGUCAGUGCAGAAGAGUGGACGUAGGCUUGAAAUAAGCCGAACCACUAUAAACCUCGUGUUCAAUUUUCUCUUCCCUACUCUCAAUCUUACGUUGAUCGUUGUUUGUUUAUUGACGAAGAAAAAUUGUCUCAUUUCUAUCAAUUGUCUAGCAUUGUGCAAUUAUCAUUAGAAAUUACUCGUUAUACCUAUUCACCCUCCCCUCUAGGUACUUAUACUAGUCAUAUCAAUUGGUAUCAGAGCUCGUGUACUCACUUUAUUUGAAGUGUUUUACUUCAGAGUAAAAGAUCCAUUGCUAGUAUGCUAGCUCCAGGGCUGGUCAAAGGUCAAAGCAAUACCAGACCUCCUUCCUUUGAUGGAAAGGACUACAACAUCUAGAAAAACAAAAUGAAAGCAUUUCUUCGAUCAAAGGAUCCUCUGGAAUGGGACGUUGUAAAAAAAGGAAUCACUCCUAAAGUUGCAUCCGUCUCAGAAAGAGGGAAAGAAACUGUUGAGACCAGCAGAAUGUCUCAGGAAGAGAUAAUCAAGAGACAAACUCUUGAUGCAAAAGCUAUAUAUUCUUUAUAUUGUGCCUUGUCACCCAGUGAAUAUAACAGAAUAUUAUCUUGUGUUACAGCAAAAGAAGUCUGGGAUAGGUUACAUAUCACCUAUGAAGGAACUGAUCGAGUAAAAGAGACCAGAAUCAACAUCCUUCUCGGUCAAUAUGAAGCCUUCAAAAUGAGACCUGGAGAAUCUAUAACUGACAUGUUUAGCCGUUUUAUAGAAAUUGUAAAUGGUCUUGAAAAUCAAGGACAAGCAAUUUCUGAUCCCAUGAAGGUAAACAAGCUACUGGUUUUAAGAUCUUCUUUCAAGAAGGAAUAUGUUCUGGAAUCAGCAAAGACUCUACUCAGUCUUUUAUGGGUCGAAGGCAUGGAAAUAUCUAUCUUUUGGAUAUGAAACCGGAUGAAUCGCAAUGCUUAAUUUCAAUUCAAGACGAAGCAAGCUUGUGGCACAGAAAGCUUGGUCACAUAAAUAUGAAGUAGAUAGCCAAAAUCUCAUCAAAGCAGCUUGUUCGUGGUCUACCCAAUUUAUCAUACCGAAAGUCUGAUCUAUGCACUCCAUGUAUAUUGGGAAAGCAGGUAAGAAAUUCAUUUAAGCCAAUAAAUCAUGUCUCUACUAAUCAUGUACUGCAGCUGUUGCAUAUGGAUCUCUUCGGACCAACCAGAACCCAGAGCAUUGGAGGUAAGAAAUAUUGCCUAGUAAUCGUGGGCGAUUACUCCCGAUUUACUUGGGUAUAUUUCCUUGCAAGUAAGUCUGAAACCUUCUCGUAUUUUGAAAAAUUUGCUAAAAAGGUUCAAAAUGAAAAAUGAUAUGUUAUUUCAAGUAUAAGAAUAGACCAUGGAGGUGAAUUUGAAAAUCAAGAUUUUACAAAAUUUUGUGAUGAAUCUAGCCUCAAGCAUGUGUUCUCCUCUCCAUACACUCCUCAGCAAAAUGAAGUUGUGGAAAGAAAGAAUAGAUCUCUUCAAGAAAUGGCUAGAACUCUUUUAAUUGAAAGUAAGAUUUCUUCACAAUUUUGGGCUGAAGCUAUUUCAACAGUGUGCUAUAUCAUAAAUAGAGUCUUUUUAAGACCUAUUUUGGAGAAAACCCCUUAUGAGUUAUUCAAAGGUAAGAAGCCUAUUGUUUCGUACUUUCAUGUGUUCGGUUGCAAAUGCUUUAUAUUGAAAAAUGCAAAAGAUCGAGUUGGUAAGUUUGAAGAAAGAUAAGAUGAAUGCAUCUUCCUUGGAUAUUCUACAUCAAGCAAAGCUUACAGAGUCUAUAACAAGAAGAGUCAAUCAGUGAGCUCCAAACUCUUCAAAGCUUGCAUCUCAAGAAGCAUCUCAGACUCUGGAAGACCAACAUCAAGUUGUUCGUGAAGAUUCAAGUAAAGAAAGAGAUCAUCAAUCAGACAAAUCAACCAGUAAUUGGAAGCAUAAGUCUAGUCAUUCCAAAGAUCUCAUUAUUGGCGAAAUUAAUGAAGGAAUUCGCACCAGAUCCAAAAGGCGUGAAGAGUCUAGUGCUGUGGCACUUGUUUCCGAAAUAGAACCCAAAAGCAUAGAAGAAGCUUUAUCAGAUGAAAGCUGGAUUGAAGCUAUGCAAGAAGAGCUCAGGCAAUUCAGUAUCAAUGAUGUCUGGGAAUUGACUCCUAAACCAAAAGGUAAAUCUGUUAUUGGAGCUAAAUGGGUUUUCAGGAACAAGAUGAAUGAGAAAGGAAAAGUCGUAAGAAACAAAGAAAGACUCGUGGCCAAGGGAUAUACGCAAGAAGAAGGGAUAGACUAUGAUGAGACCUACGCUCCAGUAGCAAGGUUAGAAGCUAUUCGAUUCUUGCUUUUUUGCUUGUUAUGAAAAUUUCAGAUUAUUCCAAAUGGACGUCAAAAGUGCUUUCCUGAAUGGAUUUAUCCAUGAGGAAGUUUAUGUGGAACAACCACUAGGGUUUGAAGACCCAAAGAAACCAGACUCAGUCUUCAAACUGAAAAAAGCCUUGUAUGGUUUAAAGCAAGCACCUCGAGCUUGGUACGACAGACUAAGUAAGUUUUUAAUACAUAAUGGUUUUGUCAAAGGUAAAGUAGAUACUGCUCUAUUUAUCAAAAAGGAAAACAAAAGCUUUCUACUUGUUCAAAUAUAUGUUGAUGAUAUUAUUUUUGGAUCUUCUAAUGAAAGUCCGUGUAAGAAAUUCUCUAAGUCUAUGCAGGAUGAGUUUGAAAUGAGUAUGAUGGGAGAGUUAACCUUCUUUCUUGGACUUCAAGUAAAACAAUUGAAGGAAGGAACUUUCAUUCAUCAAGAAAAAUAUGCUAAUGAUCUUGUUAAAAGGUUUGGACUAGAAAAGUGCAAAAAAAACCGAUGUCAAGUUCUUUGAAGAUAGACAAAGAUGAAGAAGGGAAGAAAGUUGAUCAAAAGCUGUACAGGAGUAUCAUCGGUUCACUUCUUUAUCUUACUGCCUCUAGACCUGACAUUUUGUUGAGUGUGUGCAUCUGUGCUAGGUUUCAAUCAGACCCUAGAGAAUCUCAUCUCAGUGCUGCGAAACGGAUUAUUAAAUACAUUGCUUCAUCUUCAAGUAUCGGUCUUUGGUAUCCUAAGAAGGGAGACUUUAAUCUUCUUGGAUAUUCAGACGCAAAUGUAGCCGGUUGCAGAGUUGAUAGAAAGAGCAUCUCGGGAACUUGUCAAUUGCUUGGGAACAAGACAGUGUCUUGGUUUUCAAGGAAACAAAACACUGUGGCUCUCUCUACAACAGAAGCAGAGUAUGUAGCUCUUGGAAGUUGUUGUUUGCAAAUUCUGUGGAUAAAACAACAGCUACAAGACUUUGGAAUUGAAGACUCAUGCACUGAGAUUAGAUGUGACAGCACCAGCGCAAUCAAUCUUACUAAAAAUCCAAUCCUUCACUCAAGGGCAAAGCAUAUAGAGAUUCGUCAUCACUUCAUUAGAGAUCAUAUUCAAAAUGGAGAAAUCUCGAUUCAAUUUGUUGAGUCAAAGAGCCAACUAGUGGAUAUAUUCACAAAGCCUUUGGAGAAGAAUCAAUUCGAUAUCAUCCGUUCCAGACUCAACAUUUUGAAGCUUGAGGAAAUCAAAGUCUAGAGACUCUCAGACUCUCAGACUCGAUCAUUCACGGCCAUAGACUGUAAGUUGUUUUAAAAUUCAAUCUCGAAAAGGUACGAUCUUUCAUUCAGUUAUAUUUGAUUUAUCUUUAAUUUCCGAGAAAAACGGAAUCUUGUCUUUUCAAAAAGAUAACCUCUAUUAAAAAGGCAGUUAUCGUUUUUAAAAAUGGACGACUGUUCACUUUCCUUUAUGUCGAUUGGUUUUUUCCUUUCUUUAACUGGGUUAUAUACAGUAAGUUGUCUUCUUCGCUUCACUCUAAAACCCUAAAAAGACAUUCUCCUCCCAAUCCUGUCUCGAUUUCGUGUUCAUCUUUGAGAAAGUUGUCAUAUUUUCUUGGGAAAGCGAGUCAAGGAAUCUUUCAAUGACAAGAAACGAUGUCUUCUUGUAGAAGGUCUUCAAGAAUCGCAAGCAGGGGACCACAGAGAAUGAGGGAGGGUCCUACCCAUUUCGAUCUCACCAAGGAAGAAGAGUUACCGAGACAGCAACAGAGCCCGAUUCACUCUCAGCCACGUCAAUCUCUAUUAUCUACCCCACAAAGUGUGAAUCAACUACCACAGGAAGAAAUAAUCGAGGAAGCAGAGCCUGUAAGAGUCCAAAAACCCUAUUUUAUUUAUAAGCUCUAUCGUGCUUUGAAAAGCAUAGGUACACCACUGAACUAUGUGGAUGCCUUCCUUAAAGACAAAGGGUAUAAAAAUGAGUAUAUCUUUUUGUGACGGAUGGAGGAUUUGGGAAUUGCUUCCAAAGGAAAGGCUGAGGAAGCACUUGUGAACAUUCUUAGUGACCCUCGUGUAGGGGGAUUUAAUCUGACUGACGGGAAUGACGAUGAUAAACUAUUUAGAGAAUUCCAACCCAAGAUGGGUGUUGCUGCGAAAGUGAAAGGAAAAAGAACGGAGUUGUUCAAAUCAAAGGAACAGGAGGAUCUGUUCUUCAAAUUGUUGAAACGGGGGGUAAUAAACCCUAGGAGCGUUGAUUUUGACUUUCUGGAUGCCAUCAAUGUGAACUUAAAGGAGAAGUUCAAUCUGCUUCAACUAGAACAAUUUUGCUCUGACACCACAGACGGCUAUGCACAAUUAACAACAUAUUUCUAUUCGAAUCUCAACUUUUUAGAUGCGAAUAGAAUAUCCUUCAGUGUUCGAGACCAAUACUAUGAGGUAGAUGUGGACAUGUUGGCAGACAUAAUUGGAGUUGAAAGAGGACGAUAUCAACCGAUCAAGGUUUCAAUCGCUCGUACCACACUGGAACUUGUCAAAGACAAGAGUACAGAAGGAAGAGUUACCUACACAAGAAUGCAUGCCAUCAACAUCUUACUGUACAAAAUCGUGAUCAACUGUCUCAGGCCAAAAUCAACAUCCAAGACAGACGUGUCUAAUUCUGAGGCGAAAUUGAUGUACGCGAUCAAUUCAGGGAAGAAGUUCUCUCUUCCUCACACCAUUCUCUUCCACAUGUACAGAGCAAUGGUGAAGGAUAAGGGCCAGUUGCCUUACUCAGGUCUUGUGACUAAGAUCUUCAGACACUUGAAUAUUGAACCUCCACAUACUCUUUGCGUUCGACCAUGCGACAAAAUGGUGGUGGGUUUGAAAAGACUCAGUCGUUCUGUAUCCGAAUCAAUGGAAUGACAGAAGAAAAGAAAAGAAGCAAAGGAACAAGAACAUAGAAAAGCAGAGGAGAGAGAAGAUAAAGAAAAAGAAGAAGAGGAGAAAGAAGUUGAAGAAGAAGAAGAAGCAGUCAAAGAAAAGUCUGCAGAUGAAGCUGGAGAAAAAGGCAAUCAAGAUUCUACUGAGCAUGACCAUCACUAUUCCCCAAAUGAGGCCUUAGAAACAGGGGGAGAUGAUGAGCAAGGAAGGACUACACCAUAUCCUGAUCACAGUGAAGGUGUGAGUCGCUCGCAAGCAAAUCCAGAAGAUAUUCAGGCUUCUCAAAUGCCUGAGGAAGGACAUGACACCUCAACGCUAAAUUUGCGCGAUUACACUAAAGUUCCAUCGUCUGCCUUCACUCCAUCUGAUAGAGCAAAUGCAAGCACGCAGACGGACAAUACCGCAGAUUUUCGUCGUAUCCUUGAUCUUCUUCUAGCAAUGCAGGGUCAAAUAUAUGCUUUGGAAUGUGAACUUCAAGUCCUAAAGAAUUCUGGACAAGCGUCUUAUGUUACCCUGUCGAUCAAAUACAAGACCUCGCUCGUCAAAUUCAAGCAAAUGCCAAAGGAGUAGAGAUGACUCGUCUAAGGGAAGACUUGAAGAGGCUGGAAGGCAUCGUACAGUCGAUGGGAGAUUUCCAGAUUGUGCGCGUUCCCAAGCAGACUUGACUCUUUCUCACCUUUUUAAUGAUGACAAAAAGGGGGAGAAUUGCCAGCUUUGAACUGAACUAAACUUUGAUUUUGAAUCUAUCUUUAAUUUUAGUUUGUUUGGAUAUUUAUUUUUGAGUAUGACUUGAGUGUGGUGGACUUGGUGAAUUUGACUGACUUGAGUGUGUGGAUUUGAAAUUGACUGUUGCAUUAUUUAUAUCAAGUGUUAUUGUAUGGCUUUACUCAUGAAAGACUAACUUAUUUUCUGUGGAUGCAGAGUCUAGUUGAGUUAUUAAUCUUUAUGAGAUAUCCAUACUGCUUGAGUAAUGCUUUUGCAAGUCAAAGUUGUUCAAAUCUACAGGAAAGUUUUGUCACCAUAAAAAAUGGGGAGAUUGUUGGAGAAAUCUCUCUAGAGUGUUUUGAAGCUGACAAAACGUUUCUAUCAGUCUAGUCUGGAAGCUAUGCAGAUCCUUGUACUUAGAGUCUGAAGACUUUCAGAUCACCAGACUCAGCACACAAGACUCAAGACUCAAGACUAUUCUCAUUGACAGUUUCUAAUCUAGCGACGAAGGCGAUCCAAAGCUAAAGUGUUUGGUUAAGGAUUUGGUCUUGUCGAUUGGAGAAGAUCUCCUGGCUGGAUUUGAUACAACGGAUUAAUUAUUCGAAAUCAAGAUCGUUUGAAGAUCCGAUAAUUGACGAAAUAUUCUUGGAAGGUUCUAUUCUUGGAAACCAAGAUCCUGAUUGUAUGGGCGAACGUGAUUGAUGGGCUAUCGACGUGUUCCUUUAAUAGCUCAAAUGACCUUCUUAAUUGAUUCUGUCCAACGGGAAGAUUGGAAGAAUUCCUUUGGUAAGUGCCAACGGGUAUGAUGGCAUAAAUGAGUAUAAAAAGAAGACGUUCCAGUUAUUCUAGUAAGUGCUCGAUAGAGAAAUUCCAGAGUCUAAAGCUCCUUGAUUAUUAGUCGAUUCAUAUUGAGCGAAACUGUACUCACAAAGAGAGUCUAUACUUAGUGAUACCUUGAGAGAGUGUAAUAGAUCUUCUACACCAAGAAAUCAAGGAAGAACAGUGCUGUAAUAUCUUUUUGUUCAUAGUGGAAUCCAGCCAGUGGGCUGUCAGUGCAGAAGAGUGGACGUAGGCUUGAAAUAAGCCGAACCACUAUAAAUCUCGUGUUCAAUUUUCUCUUCCCCACUCUCAGUCUUACUUUAAUCGUUGUUUGUUUAUUGACAAAGAAAAAUUGUCUCAUUUCUAUCAAUUGUCUAGCAUUGUGCGAUUAUCAUUAGAAAUUACUCGUUAUACCUAUUCACCCCCCCUCUAGGUACCUAUACUAGUCAUAUCAAUAUGUAACCAGGGACAAAGAUGUCACUAUCCUCUUUAGAACAUAUUAUGGUGAAUUUAAUAUAAGCUUUCGUGGCAAAUAAUAAUGGAAGACUUAGAAUUGAGAUACAAUUGCAAGUGAAAGUUUACAAUUUCAAUAGUAGAUAUGUAUAUCUAUUUUCUUGUACAUAAUAUACAUUGCCGAAAUAAUUAAUCACGGUAGACAGUAGUUGCUAUGUAUUGUUGGUUGAAAUGUUCACGCAAGAUUGGCUGUGAUGUUAUUUCUUCAAAAAUCACGUUUUGAUUAGAUUUGGACAUGUUUUGGAGGCUUGUACAAUUUUGAAGACGACUCCGAUAAUGAUUUUUACCAUGCAGGGACGGAUUGGCAUAUUAGUUUAGUGGGGUCAAUGUAUUUGUUGUUGCGCGUGCGCGGAAUAUAGACGGACCAAGCGAAUCGGAUAAAAUGGUCGGAAUGAAGGAAAGGAAAUCAGACACCGGAUUUACGUGGUUCGGCCCGAGUAUCGGAACCUACGUCCACGGGGAGAGCAGCACAGAAUUCCACUAUAGAAACAAGCGAUACACCGGAGAUUACAAUGACUCGAGUACUCAAACACACUCAGUGUUUCCCAGCCCCCAAAUUACACCCAGAUAACUUACACAGUGUUUAGCCCUUCACAAUUGCUAGUGAAAUCUCACUCAAGAAAUUAAACAAAUUCUACUCACAAGAAUUUAACUGACUAAAAGCACUCGGAUGUAAUUUCAACGAGAAAAUUUCUCUCUGCCGAGAGCUUCUGAAGCCUCACGACUUCUCUCUUCAGCUCUCUCUCUCUCGCCCUCUCUCUCUCUCUCUCUCUCUCGGCCACCAAAAUAACUCAGCUCGGCGCCAUCUUCUCCUUCACUCCUCUGCCUUUUAAGGACGAAGUAAGACAGAAAAUGUGAAACUCAUUCGGCGCUCGCAAUCACCACUGACGCCCACCAAAAUUCAUGGGCACGCAUGCAUGCAUGGGACGCAUUUAAUAAGGCAGAAAACUUGCACCCAUAAUUCAAGCGUGAAAGAAGGAUGGCCGCCGUCUUCCAAGACCAUCUCCACGAUGUUCAACUCCUUCAAGUAAUAUUUUUUUAUCAUUUCUUUCCUUUGGUUGUCUGCAGCUUGAAUAAAAUAAGAAAGGAAAGAAGCAAGGAGUUAAAGAAAGAAGACAAAACAAGCCCACAAUUGGCUUUAGUCUUCCGUGUCCAUCCACCAUGCAUGCACGUCCAUGUGCAUGCAAUUAAAGAGUUAGAAUAAAAUAAUGAUCUUCCCCUCUCGCUGCUGCACGCUCUCUUCAUUCUUCACGCUUGCGCUCAUAGAUCCGCAUGCGAUCUUCUGACAAUUUCGGCCAAUUCACAUGCGCUACUUUGACUCACACGUGGUUGAGUUCACGCAUUCUCGUUCAACGGGCUCAAAUCGAGACAUAUUUUCAACAAUCUCCACAUUGGCUCGACGUUUGAGCCAAAUCAUAAUCGCUUCAGUGGACACCUCGCUACUACUCUCCCACAGCCCCAACGGGCUCAACUGCCACAGAGUGCUUCCAAUUUCAAGAUGCGCUUGAACUUUCUCAUAAUCAUGGACCUCAUCAAGACACCAAUUCCACCUGCAUAAUUAGCUACUCCACAAGGAUUUUCUGACAUAACCUCCUAUAUCACAGAUAAAGCAAAACCAUCAUUGCUUCCAUAUCUGACAGUAGGUCGAACACGCACCUUGUCAAAUUUAGUAGCUACAGCAACUGUUGGCUCUAUUGGCUCCACCUCGCUACAAGCAUCAUCUAUGUCGAUUAUUACGCUAGUACUCGCUACCUCAGGAGUUUCUGGUUGCAACUCCACCUUGAGCUGAACACCGUUCAGAUCCGUAUUAACACUGCCAAAAACACUCCUAUCCAAAAGUACUAGAGACUUGUCAAAGGUAACUUCUCUACUGUCAACAGGUGAAUUUAUAUCCGGGCACCACAACUGAUCGCCCCACUCACCUCGUGCAUAGCCAUGGAAUAUGCACAUUGCCCUCCCAUCGAGCUUACCAUCACUCACUCAAAAAUAACACGGGCAACCAAACAUUCUAAAAAUAGAAUUACCAGCAACGUUACCUGACCACACUUCUUCAGGAAUCCGCCAUUCAAUAGCAGUUGAUGGGGAUCUAUUCAUCAGGUAGCUUACCGUACUAAGCACAUCAGCUAGGAUUCUCCUAGCAACACCAGCACUAGAGAUCAUUUUACGGGCCGUCUCUAGUAAUGUUCUGCUUAUCAAUUAUGCAAAUUGUUGUGAUUUAUUGGCACUAGUGCGAUGUUUCACUAUGCCCUCUUCCAUGCAGAAUUUAUUUACCAGCUCCGAGCAGAACUCCAUGCUAUUGUUAGUCCGCACAUGCUUGAUCGACUUACCAGUCUCCGUCUCGAUCAAAGCUCUCAACCGCGUGAUCCUAACACUAGCAUCAAACUUGUGCAUCGGCACAAGCACCCAGGUCUUCCUCGAGCAGUCAAAAGACUCUCGAACAGAAGCAUCCAACGUCUCCAGGGCAAAACCUGUCACUGUCUCACCUUGAAGUUUAUACAGGCCUCCGUGCUUGAUUCCUUUCAUUAUCACCAGGGCACCUCGAACAAUCUUUAGAACUCCACCUUCUGAAGAAUACCUGCAACCAGUUGAAUCUAGGGCACCCAAGGAAAUUAAGUUCUUUUGCAAUUCUGGAACAUGUCUUACUCCAGUCAAUGUCCUCACAAUACCAUCAUGCAUUCUGAUUUUAAUAUCACCAACACCCACAACAUCGCACUCAGCGUUGUUCCCUAACUGAACUUUACCAAUACCCAUGCACUGAUAAGUGAUAAACCAAUUCCUAUUUGGUGUAACGUGAAAUGAACAACCAUAAUCCAUUAUCCAUCCGUGAAAUGAAAAAUCCUCAGUGACAGACAAGACAAUCAACACCAUCAGAAUCAUUCUCAGCUACAGCUGCAACAUUUUAUGUAGACUCAACUCUAAUUCCUUUACCCUUUUCAUUUUUCAGCUUAAAACAGUCUCUUCUACGAUGCCCACUAUUGCCACAAUUCCAACAGACAAUCCUACCAGUCCUAGACUGACUUCGUCUGUUCAUGUUCCUGCUAACACGUGUGCUAGUUCUUCCUUUACCUUCACCUACUAAAGCAGUAGACACGGGUUCACCAAAUUCUUUCCUACGAAUGUCUUCACUCAGAAUCAAAUCACGAACGUCAUCAAAUGUCAAACUUCUUGACCCAGAGGAAAGACCAAAUGUACAAAAGAUCUCAUCACCAAAAACUUACACUCCAAAUGUAAGAACAAAAGGAGUGGAAGGGUGAUGAGAUGUAAAAGCCGCAAAGUGCAGCACAUACACUACAACACCAAAACCAAAAAGAAGCACGACAUGGAUAACCGGCUACCAAACACACCACAGGUGAGGAAGAGGUCAUUGUCGGAUCGAAGUACCUACGAGUCCCUAGUGAAAAUAAUUGGGUUUAGGCCUCAACUUCUCUGCAACCUUCUGUUUCUUAAAUCAUUUUCGAUGUUCCUGAAGGUAAUAGCCUUGUCUCGAACCACUUUGAAGAGGUGGUUCUUCAUAGCUAGGAUAGUCAGGAGCUGGUCUCUAAAGAUGAUGCUAUUCUUGUUUUUCCAAAUGAUAUAACAAAGUGCGCCCAAAGAAAAAUGGGCAAUUCACUUGUAGAAAUUUUUACCCAUCAAAUAGGUAGCGGCCCGGCGGAAGUUCUCCCUCUAAGUUCUGUUGCGCCAAUGUAAAUUGCAUCUGAAAGCCCAAAAGAAUAAAAUGACUAGAGUUUAUUCCUUCCCGUUGGGGAAAUAAAAAAUAUAAGGGGAAUCAGCUGCGCAAGACGUGCGGGCACCGGCCGGCAGGUGAAUGUAAGAAAACGAAUGGAAGUUAAGAUCACACCUUUAAAAAAAAAAAAAAACAGACAUAUAUGUAACGACCACAACGGGCUGGGCCGGAAGGAUGAAGAAAGUCCAGUAGGGAGAAUCCUGAAGGCUUUGCUGAAAUCUAUCACCUUAUCCUCAAAGUGACGAACCAAUAGCAUAUUUCCUAGAAAAAAAUAAAGAAAUAAAAUAAAUCGACUGAAAAUCGAUGUGAAGCCAGCGAGAGAAGCGCUAGCUCUGCGAGACGAAGAAGCCAUGGCGUCUCUCCUGGGAACUUCUUCCACAGCAAUCUUGGCCUCACGGCGCCUCUCCCCACUUUCAGGUGCAAUUUCCUGCACAUGUUUCAAGCGUUUGGGGGAUAAUCCGGACGACCCAUUUCGGUUCGGGUCUUUAAAUUGCUCGAAUUCGACUAUUUCGAGCUCGGGGUUUAUGAGGUUUUUAAUGGGGUCUGUGGAAUUUGCCUUUGUUGUUGAAUUUUCUUGUUUGCAGUGCAGAAUCAUGGCAAGAAAUGUUAUGAAGGGAUUGGGUUUCAGACCAAGAAAGGAAGGUCGCCGUGGCAUCUUGCCGUCACCAAUGUCGCGACCGAUAUCAAUUCUGUCGAGCAGGUAUCGAUUCUUUCCUUUGCCUUUUAUUUUAUUAGCUCUAUGCAUUUCUGGGAAGUUGCAGCAAGAGACUGGUGUGGAUUGAUGCUUCAAAUUUGUUAAUUGCUGAGUUUUUUUUAGUGAAAGUAGACUGAAAAUUGGGCUGCUUCCAUUGCAUUUAAUGAUAAAGUGAGGAUUUCUUAGGCUGAGGCAUUACGCUAAUUGAAGUCGAAUGGGAAAAAGAAAAUGCUUUGCAGUUGAUGGUUUUUUUAGGGUGGUCUUGUUGAGUGAAGUGAGAAUUUUUUGGGGGAGAAUUAGCAUGGAUUGCUUGUGUAGGAUUUUGUGAGCUGGAUUGGAUGGAUUUUUUUCAUUUUUCAGGCUCAGAGGCUUGCCUCUAAGGAGAGUUAGAGGCCGGUCUAUCCUUUUGCCGCUAUAGUUGGGCAAGAUGAGAUGAAGCUGUGCCUCUUACUAAAUGUCAUUGAUCCGAAGAUUGGUGGUGUUAUGAUUAUGGGAGAUAGGGGCACCGGGAAAUCCACUACCGUCCGGUCAUUGGUCGAUUUCCUCCCUGAGAUUUCGGUGAAACCGCAAGGUUCUAUGGACUUCCAGCAACCGGGUUACGGCAAUUCUGAACGCAAAUUUAUCCACAAGCUUAUUCCACCCAGUUUCUGAAGCCAAAUGCGCUGGAAUACUCACGGAGGCAUAUCGAAGAGAUAAACGGAGCAAUUAAGAAGAAAUCCUUCGCUGUGCCUAACCUACAAAAUCAUGGACGAUGCAUACUGCCAAUCUACAUAGAGCACAAAGAGGUCUUCCAAAAUCAAACGGACCUACUGCGACGGGAGGGUGGGAGACGCAAAAUGCACGCGAAACAGCGAGAGACAAGGCACAACAAAGGCAAGAGUCUGAAGGAACUCCUCAUCGGAAAAGUUCACAUCUCAUCAGGUUUCUCCAUCGGAAAAACUAAGUGCGCUCGUGCAAAGCCCCUCCACUCGACAGUACCUUCCUUGCGAUCGCGACAGGAAGCGAGCUCGAGCGUGGGAGAGGGAGGUGUUGGAAGAUAUGCUCGAAUCUGAUCUUGGGAGAUAUGCUCGGAAUCUCGAUUGAUCUUAAUUGUACAUAAAUUAGUUAGGAUCUUUAGAUUGAGAUUGGAUUCAAUUUCAUAAAUAUUUGUUUGCCUUUUAUUAUUUCAUCUAUGUACUAUAAUUACAGAAGAAAUGUACAUCAGAAUACAUACGAAAUAUACAAGAAUUCCAGAUCUCUAUAGUCUUCUUCACUUUCUUACAUGGUAUUAGAGCUUCGGCUUCUGACUGUUCUUCACUUCCGCUCCUUAUUGCCCACCAAAGGAGAUUUGAAUCACACAACAGAUCUACCAUCUUGGUAUAGGAAUCACUCGAAGAAGAAGAAGACAAGAGCUACUGGUUUCUUACCUCCAAUGGCCGACGACCAAUCCAACCCAGAAGCCUCACCACCGACGCAGAUCCAAAAUUUACCUACAACAACACAACAACAAACAAUCCAGGCACACCCUGUUCAAUGGAGACCUACACAAGCUCAGUUUGGUCUAGGGCAACCCUUUGCGGGUCAACCGUUCUAAUGGGUACCUUACCCAUUUUAUCUCGGGACAUACCUGAAUACAUCAUCGCCCAUUUAUGUAGGACACCAUGGAGCCCACUUCCAAUCCGAGGCAAGCUUGACCCCAGAACUAGAGCAGGUAAGCGGAUCUAGAGAACCGGGUAUGGGAACAAAUCCCUACCUGGGGUUUUCAAAUGCAGAUUACCAAUCGGGUCAAUGGACAAAUACCUACCCAAACCUUGCGCUCGGAUUCAUGCCAUUCCCCGUCGCUGCCGUUACCGGGCAUACGGACCCUAAUGAUCCCCUGCAUGUCUCAACAGCCGAUGGCCAUGAGCUGAAACUGAUCAACCUUCAGUUAACCGGACCAAAGAAUUACACCAGAUCGUCCCGAGACUUCCGGCGCGCCCUUGUGACGAAGGACAAUGAUGGAUUCCUCGACGGGGCGGUUUCGAUUCCUGCCGAUGAGCGACUAGCCCGAUUUUGGAGGAAAUGCAAUCAACUCGUGAGGACGUGGAUCGGCAACUGCAUCUCCCCAGAGGUCGCGGUUGGUCUCCCACCAACAGAAGACUCGAAAGCCAUGUGGGAAAACAUCAAACAGAUGUACGGCAAAUUAGAUCGAGCAUGAAUUUUUUCCCUUUUGCAGGAACUUAGUGAGUUAAAACAGGGGAACAUGAUCAUCACGGCCUGUUACAACAAACUGUCGUCCUUGUGGAACGAUCUCGAAGCAACAGAAGAGAAGCCCGAGGGACCAGAGGAGACACUUGCACAAUACCGGUCGAUCAAAGAAAGGGAAAAGGCGACCCGAUUCCUUUUAAUCUUAAACGAUUCUUACCUGACGUUUCGCUCGCAGAUUUUGGCCAUGGAACCGAUGCUCCCUCUUGGCCGGAUCAUUCAAUUAGCCGUCCAAGAAGUAAGCCAGAGGCUUGCUUCAUCAGAAUUAGCGAAAGGAGGAGAGAGUUUUGCCCUGGCCAGUCGCAGCGAGCGAAGAAAUUGGGGAUCGAAAACCCUAGUGCUCGAAAAAGGGGCGCCAGGAGGAGAGCUAGGGUUUCGGUCGCCCAGAUCUGAGGAUUCCCACCUCCUUAAAAGAGGAGAACUAGACGGCUCGGAUUCAGCCUGUAGAUCGGAUGGUCCAAAGGGACCCAUCUAUUCGACCGGAUCUAACGGUGGAGAUGGAGCGACUGGGAAGACAUCCGACGGUGGUGGUUUUUUUUCUGCAUUUGACGGUGGAAGAAUUUUUUCGGCAUCUACAAAAAGUUUUAAUCAAAAAAGGGGUAAAUUAUAUUGUGAAUUUUGCAGAAGGCCACAUCAUACAGUGGAAAAUUGCUGGAAAUUACACGAUAAACCCGGAGAAAAAGGAAAAAGAAGGAAAUUUCUAUGGCCUACUAGGUUGGUGGUUCUAAUGUUGAUCAGUCCAUAACAAAUUAUCAAUACCAACAACUGAUGCAGGCAGUACAGAAAUUGGACAUCUCAAGCAAGGGAGGAAAUUUUUCAGGUGUUUCUCGCUGCCUGAUUAAUAAUAUUUCCAAGAAAUCCUAGAUAAUUGAUUCUGGGGCAAGUGAUCACAUUGUCUAUGAAAGAGCAUUAUUUUCAGAUAUACAUGAGAACCUGGAAUUUCCUAUUACUGUCCAAUUACCAAAUGGGAAUGUUACUCAUGUCAAAAUCACUGGAUCAAUCAAACUGAGCCUAGAAAUCAUACUCCAAAAUGUCCUUUACGUUUCAAAAUUUUGAUUCAAUCUUAUUUCUGUGUCCAAAGUCUGCAGAGAAAAUUCUUGUCGUGUAUUGUUUGAUUCUGACACUUGCUUCUUUCAGGCCCUUUCGACUGGCAGAGUGAUGGGCUUGGGUAGUCUUUCUGAAUGAUUGUUUCUAUGGAAAGAUUCUCCAAGUAAUUUUGAUUUAUCCUCAUUUCCUUCAAAUAAAAUAUCAUUGUGUAACACGACUACCAAUGAUAAAGACUAUCUUUUACAUUCAUGAUUGGGUCAUAGUGCUUCAUUUCCUUAUUCUAAGUGUCAAAUAUGUCCCCUUGCAAAGCAAUCACGCAUUCCUUUUGCCCUUAGUAAAAAUUGUGUAACGCACAUUUUCUCUUUAAUUCACAUGGAUGUUUGGGGUCCUUACCAUACCCAACAUCAUGAUGGAUCGCACUAUUUCUUGACAAUUGUGGACGAUUAUUCUCGUGCCACCUGGGUUUUUUUGAUGCAGUCAAAGGGACAAGUCUUCUCACAUUUGAAAACAUUUAUCGCUCUAUCCAAGAACCAAUUUGGAAGAUCUAUCCAACGAGUUAGGACAGACAAUGGGAAGGAGUUCUUCAACAAUGACUGCAAUUUUCUUCUGUCAUCUCAUGGGAUUCUCCAUGAAAGUUCUUACAUCUAUACUCCACAAUAGAAUGGAGUAGUGGAGCGUAAGCAUUGUCACCUAUUGGAAGUUGCACGUGCAUUAAAAUUUCAGGCGUCUAUUCCAAAAAAAUAUUGGGGCGAAUGCAUAAUUACUGCAACAUAUCUCAUCAACCAUAUGCCAACUCGGAUACUCAAUGGAAAAACCCCAUUUGAGUUACUCUUCAAGAAGAAACCGGAAUUUGGGCAUUUAAGGAUAUUUGGAUGUCAGUGCUUCGCUACUGUUUUGGGCCCUCGAGACAAAAUGGGGCCUCGAGCUCGACGGUGCAUCUUCAUGGGUUAUCCGAAUUUACAAAAGGGGUAUUGAGUCCUAGAUCAAUCAACAUUGGAAUUCUUCAUCAGCAGAGAAGUUAUUUUUCACGAAGAUAUUUUUCCUUUCAAAGAAAAGGACUCUUCAAUGGAGACGCCAAACAAUUCUGGUAAGCCACUAUCUAUGGAGGAUUUUUCAAAUACCGAAUAUUUUGUGACAGGAACUCCAAAACCACUUAUGAUAACCCCAAUCACUCCUGAGAUUUCUGCACCAGCAAUUGUUGAAAAUGGCGCUCAAGAAAAUUCUUCAAUGGCAGAAGAAUCCUCUAAUGAAAUUGGCAAUAUAGAAAUAUCUUCAACUUCAGCUCAAGUGAAUCCUCCUCGACGAUCUGGUCGUUCUACAUGACCGCCAGCUUGGAUAGAAGACUAUGUUUGUGCAUCACCCAACUCACCAGGUAUUAACUACCCAAUAUCAUCUUAUGUUUCGUUCCAUAGACUUUCAUCGGAACAUAGAUGUUGUGUGAGUCGAAUAUCAGAGGACAUCGAACCAUCUACUUAUGAAGAAGCAGCUAAAGACCCAAGAUGGCAGGAAGCUAUAGGAGCUGAAUUGCAGGCACUAACUGCAAACAAGACCUGGGAUUUGGUCCAUCUACCACCAAAUAGGAAACCCAUUGGAUGCAGAUGGGUAUACAAGAUUAAAGACCGUGUUGAUGGGUUUAUUGAGUGUUACAAAGCUCGAUUGGUGGCCAAAGGAUUUACUCAACGAGAAGGCUUUUUGAUUACCACGAAACCUUUUCCCCCGUUGCCGAAGAAUACCCAAACCUUGAUUCAAUGAAUUGAGAAGAGGGAUCUACGCAGAGUGGGGUGUCAGAUGGUCGUUUUUCGGCUUGCCAAAGACAUAACCGUAAGAUCCUUCUUAUCUAUUACAGCUAUCAAUGAUUGGCCUUUACACCAAAUGGAUGUACAUAACGCUUUUCUGCAUGGAGACUUAGAUGAGGAAAUCUACAUGGAUAUUCCUCAAGGAUUACGGAGACGGGGGGAGAAUAGAGUAUGUCGUCUCCGUAAAUCUCUCUAUGGUCUCAAGCAAGCUUCUAGGCAAUGGUAUGCAAAAUUUGCCGAUGCUCUCACUUCUGUAGGUUUCAAACAGUCUAGAUAUGAUUAUGCCUUGUUCACAAUGACUCAAGGUACGUCAUCUAUUUAUCUAAUGAUAUAUGUUGACGAUAUCCUCAUCAUGGAAAAUAAUAAAAUUGCAAUAGAGAGAUUCAAGAAGUAUCUGUAUUUUACUUUUCACAUUAAAGACUUGGGAGCACCCAAAUACUUUCUUGGAAUCGAGAUUGCUCGAUCUGAUCGUGGGAUUUCUCUUAGUCAACGGAAGUUUGUGCUGGAAAUUAUAUCAGAGGCAGGACUGUUAGGAUGCAAACCAUCAAUUAUUCCAAUUGAGUAGAAUAUAAAGUUGACCACCAAGGAUUAUGAUGCUGGGACAUCUGAGAAUCAUGAUCCUGUUCUCAAUGAUCCUUCAGGUUAUAAGCUUGUUGGGAAGCUCAUAUAUUUAACUAUGACUAGAUCCGAUAUAUUAUAUGCAGUGCAGACUCUCAGCCAAUUCAUGCACAGUCCCAAGUUAUCUCACUUGAAUGCUGCAUUAAAGGUCGUGAAGUACUUGAAGAAGUGCCCGGGACUAGGGAUUCUUUUAUCCAGGGAAUGCAAUAUGAAAAUGUUGGCAUACUGUGAUGCAGAUUAUGCGACUUGUCCUAUGAGUCGACGAUCCAUUACAGGUUUUUGCAUUAAACUUGGAGAUUCUCUUCUUUCAUGAAAAACCAAGUUGCCUGCUUCUUGGUUUUUCAUGAAAGAAGCAGGCAACUGUAUCAUUGUCUUCAGCCGAAGCAGAAUACCGAGCUAUGACAAAAACUACUUGUGAGAUCAUAUGGAUAUGGGGACUACUUGGGGAUCUUGGGAUAAAUUUGAAGAGUCCGACUAGGUUGUUCUGUGACAACGAUGCGGCGCUCAAACUUGCAGCAAAUCCCAUAGUACAUGAAAGAACGAAGCAUAUAGAAGUGGAUUGUCACUUCACUCGAGAAAAGAUUCAAGAAGGGAUAAUUGAGACUAGAGGAAUUGGAAUGGCGGAGCAACCAGCCGAUAUCUUCACUAAGGCCCUAUGUCAAAGACAACAUGCAUAUCUAUUGAGCAAGCUAGGCAUCUUGGAUAUCUAUCAGCCACCAGCUUGAGGGGGAGUGUUGGAAGAUAUGCUCGAAUCUGAUCUUGGGAGAUAUGCUCGGAAUCUCAAUUGAUCUUAAUUGUACAUAAAUUAGUUAGGAUCUUUAGAUUGAGAUUGGAUUCAAUUUCGUAAAUAUUUGUUUGCCUUUUAUUAUUUCAUCUAUGUACUACAAUUACAGAAGAAAUGUACAUUAGAAUACAUACGAAAUAUACCAGAAUUUCAGAUCUCUAUAGUAUUCUUCACUUUCUUACAGGAGGGACAGAGAUCGGCUGGAUUAGAAUGGAGAUGAGAGAGAAGAACUCUGGUUUUUCUGCGGGUUUUUGGAUGGCGACUCUUUACAUAUAGAGAGAGAGAGAGAGAGAGAGAGAGAGAGAGAGAGAGAGAGAGAGAGAGAGAGAGAGAGAGAGAGAGAGAGAGAGAGAGUAGAUCUGAAAGAGGCAGGACCGGAAAGUGGCGAAAAACCGACGGAGGUUCGUCUGAGCGACUCGUCAUGCGCUCGCCGGGAGUUCUCCCGAGGGGACAAUAAAAUCCCGAUUCUGCCCCUCUAGAGGAACCAAUUCACGAAUUGCUCUGGUAUUGCCUUUAUUUUGUCUACUUUGGACCCAAAUCAUCGGAUCUAAAUAGAUUUUAAUCGUCGAUCGCAUGGAUUCAGACACUUGGGAACCAUGAUACCAACGGCAUUGAUGGAUUUAGGGCAUGUAGAGUUGAGUUUAGACAAGCAUUUACCCUCACAUUAAUAAAAUGUGUACAGGACUCAAGGAGCUAUUCGUCGGUUUGCUACCAAAGCCCAUCUCAUGUGCUUACACUAAGAAGAGGGCACUUUUGCUCAAGAAAAAUUUCAAGCUGGCAUUAGUAAGAACUAAAGAAAUUGACAAGAGAAUGAAUAUCUUAUUGUCAUAUAAAGGAGUACUUUAAAGUUGUGUCGUAUUGAACUUUGUCCCACCUAUUACACUAUUGAAAUGUUAUGUUUAAUAUACCAAUAAAGUAUCAAUCGCUAGUUGAGCAAGUUUAUCACCACAGCCCCAUUAAAUAUGAGUAGGGAAUUCUAAGACUAAUGAUAGACCAAAGCCCAAGUUCGUCUUUCACAGAUUAACCAAAAAAAGAAAAAGCAAACUAUUUAUGUUACUUUGGGGGUCUACCGUACACUUUGCUUCACAGAAUUGAAUGGAUUGUCUGAGCCCCUUGACCAUUUUGUUGGAUGUUCUAAGUUUUGCUUUACUAUUUACACUCCCUAUGUAUAUAAGUUUACAAAAAAAAACAAAAAACAAAAAUUCUCCGUUACUCUAUCAGAUUAAUAAAGAUAGGAAACAUUUAUGAUUAUUCUAGCAAAAAAAUGACCUUUGAUAGAAAUAACCUUUUUAUUUUAAGUGAAAUGCGUACUAUAUAUAUAUUAGUAAUUAGCAUUUGGUGUGUUUAAAAAAGAUGAAACUUCAAAAAUUAAAUUUGAGAUACACCGCUAACUAAUUUUGUUUCAAAAAGGCUUUUAAGUAAUUUUUCCUCAAUCCAAAAUAGUAAAACUUUUCGUUAUCUAACUUUACUAAUUUAUUAGGCAAUCAUCUUUCCUACGUGUAAUGAAAGUACACAUUAAUUAAAGUUUUAAAUCAAGUAUGUUGAACAUUUCGCCCCUCGAAUUAUAAUUCUGGCCAUUUAGUUCUCGGAAAAAUGAACUCUGUCGUUUAGACAAUCACGCCUUUGCAAAGCUGGUGUUUCCAAUGCGUAAAGAGAGUUACAAGCAACUGAGUUGAUGGCGAUGGAAAGAGGUUACAAACCGAGUUUUGACAAGAGCUUGGCCGACGCGUGUGGUAUUACACGGUGAGCCUGAGUCCCUCUUCGACAGUCCGGCCAUUUUUUGUUCGUUUUGAGAUGGCCGACGGCCCUCAACUUCGGCAUCCCGGUCAUCCUUGUGUUCUCGGCCUUAUAGAGCUGAGUGGACAUUUCGACCGUGUCCUACACCGUCAGGCACGCCGACCGCUGAUCCACAGUUCCACAUUCGUGCAUUGCUGCGAAGGAUGCGAAGUUUUCCACCACAAGUUGUACGCUAAGGACCUACUAUGGCCCCAGAUACAACACCCUUGGCAGGUUGGCCUUCCGCUGCGAUUCGUGCAAUGUCCAGUUAUAUUUCUGCCUCACGAUUAAGCUGGACAGGGACAUUCCAACUCAAGGCAAGAAGUUUCGAGUCAUGAAUGCGCAUUGACCUUAUGCUAUGGCGAGUUUAGCUGCAGCCUGUGCAGGGAUGUGAUCUCGGAUGCGGAUUGUUAUGUCUCUUUUGGACUGUGCUGUCGUUUGGCAUAAGAGACCAAGCUGCUCGGAUUCUCCUCAGUUGAUCGUCAUCGCCGUCAUAUGUGCGAGCUGCUCAGACUCUGUCAAGCGCUUCCAUUACUAUCGCCGGACGUAGCACCUACCAUCUAAGCAAGAUUUUCUACUCAAAACUCUCACAUAUCAUCAGCUAGGAGCAAAUGCGACAAUAAUGAGGAUGAUGCAAGUGGUACACCCAACAAAGAAUUGAGUUGAUACAUUGUGAUAAGAUUCAAGGGUUGCCAACACUCCCAACAAGUUUAACCUAUCUAUUAGUGUCAUCUUCAUCAUUGCGGGUAGUCCCAGAUCUCUCGAACUUGACUAAUUUGGUUGAGCUGAUACUACAACAACAUGGACAAGUAGGAGAUAAACUUUGUAUCGAUCAGUUAUGGUGGAUUGAGAGGUUAUCCAAACUAACGGUUUUAAGGGUCAAACUUCACGAAGUCCCUAUUCCUAUUGAGGUUGGUUCGCUUCCUCUGCUAACGUUACUUGACUUGUCUAAAUUGGACAUGCAAACCUUUCAGCCACUUCCCUUGUCUCUGCAAAGGCUAAGCCUUGGCAAUUCCAAUUCAAUUGGGUCACUCUCUCAGGACUUGAGAAAUUUGUCAUUUUUAAAGCUCCAUGGGUCUCCAAUGCAAGAAUUUCAACUCGAUGGGCUUCAACUUCCACAACUAAAGGAGUUGCAUGUGGAGUAUUGGGCACCCCUCGAGAGGUUGAGGCUAUCAAGAAAGAUGUUAAGGUGGUAAAUUGUCCAAAGCUGGUUGAGAUCCAAUUGUCUUAGGUGUUCGAAUCACUGGAGGCAUUGUCUAUUGAACAUUGCAAGUCCUUGGAAAUGCUAGUUUAUGAGAUUCACAAUGAAUUGAUUACUUGUGAAGGGAGACUAAUUUUUCCAUCAAGAGUCUUUAAGUAACUUGCGUGCUCUCACACUGCAUCAUUGCCCUUCGAUACUCCACAUUCAAGUUGUAGAUACAUGGGAAUCGUGGGAGUACUUUCGCCUUUGGAGUUGGCCUCAUCUGCAAAGUCUCGGUGGUUUGUCAAACUUAAAGAACCUGAAGACUUUAAAUAUCCAAAACUACGAAAGCCUGCGACUAGUUGUGGGCGUCAACAAGUUUUUGGGCCAAUUAGUUCUUUGUAGCUGCGCGUCGUUGGAAAGGGUGAUUUAUGUAUCAACCACCAAACUGCCGAUCGAUUGCCACUUAUUUAUCUUCGGUUGCGAGAAAUUACGAGGGACUGAGAAUGAGUCAAGGGCUUCCGGAAGGAAUUCGGGGCUUCGAUCCGGUGCUUCAAACCACUAUAAAGUGAGUCCGAAUCAUUCUCUCUUUUGCUUUUCGAUUUUCUUAAUGCAACUAUCACAAACAUGAAUUUAUCUUUUAGGCAGAUUUGUAAUAAUUGUGGGAAAUCCAAAAACAAUCCAACGAGCGUGAAUUAUAUUUUGUUUUACUCAUUUUAAAACUCACUCAAUAUAAAAAAAAUUAUUUUUAUUUUUUUGGUAAACAUAAAUUGUUUUAUUUUCUGCUUGCAUUUUCUCAUUUUAUUUUCUAUUUAUUGUAUACGAGAAAGUCCUAUUUGUACGGGGCCAGUUUUAAUCAUAAAUGAUUGGAGAAACUUCAAUGGCUGGAAAAAAUAUAUAUACACUAGCGCAAAGUCUCCGACAAAACUAUUAAUCUUGUUUUGUAUGGAGUGAGUUGUUUGGUUUAGCAACAUUUACUCCACUCUAUUGUUGUUUCUUACUUAAUAUAUUUAUUAUGGAGAUGAGUUUGGUGAUUUGCGAUUUCAUAGUGAAGAUGGAACUUAAAAGACUCCAAUUCACAUUGAUGAAGUUGAGAGUUGCUUGAAUUUGCAUGAGGUUGGGGUUGGCCAAUUAGGAUGUGUGUUUCUAAAAGCAUCUAAAAAAUUAUUAUUAAAGAUUCUGCAUUCUAAAAGGGAACAAUGAAAAUCUAAUUGCCGGAUGAUAUAUUUCCACAUCAAAUCACAAGAAUUGUUUCUUUCUCCGUACUUGAACACUUGUUAAGGGAGUAUAUGCAUAGUGCAAGCAAAAAGUAGGAAGAUUCCUAAUUCUUAUCUUCUCAAUCUUUUCGAAACAACUAAAUCGAGUUUUUAGAUGAUUGUGAUCUGCUUACUAAAAUAAAGUUUAAUUUUGGUUUAUUGAUACUAAACUCAUCAUUUGAUAUAGAAAAUUAAAGUAACGUCAUUUUAAUAUUUUUAUUAGUGUUUUAUUAUUAAUAUUCAACGACAUAUCUUUUUUAUUGGUUGUUUCCUCUCUCUUUUUUCUGUUUUCCUCCAUCGUUUAAAAAAGCAAAAAGCACAUUUUUUUUUUCAAUCUCAACGAAUGCAAUUAAAACCUAUAUGUAUAAUAAAAACUGUUCUAAAUUCCUCGAAAGAUACCGAUGAAAGUCAUAUAUAGAUUAAACACGGUGGUUGAUUGCAUAAUUUUAAUCAUUUCAUUCCUUUGUUGAAACUUUCACGGAAGACUGGUUGUGAUUUUAUUUUGCAGGAAUCAUGCUUUGAUAGGAUCGGGACAUGUUCGGGUGAUAUACUCUCUCGAGUCUUGACACUCCUUGCACCUGCUUACGCCGCGAAUUCUCGAACUCCUCUUCACUGUUGUGGCCAAAGACACCUGGUCGACUCCUCGCGGCUGCUGCGUCCCAUUGUCGUCACAACUGAGCGGAACUGAAGAAGCCAGGUCUCUUUGACGCCUUUUGAUGGAUCACGGCCAUUGCGCAUCACCAUCUGCCGCCAUGUAUACCCGGCGUUUCUCCAAGACGUUCUCUCUAGUUUUCGCCAUCGCCAUUUCCAUUUCUCUCGCUUGCUUCGGUUCUCUUUGCUCUUCUUCCUGCGGGUCUCCUCCUGUCUGUGAAGCAAUGCAGGAGGACACGUCUUUCCUGCGGGUCUCCUGUCUGGCUUUUACCGGUCCUGCAGUCUAUUACGAAUGUUAGACCUGAAUCCACUACCCCUUAUGUUCAUCCUUCUUCAUGUAAAUUAACUAAAUUAAAAAAAAAAAAAACGAAAAACAAAAGAAAACAUCACUGGCCCUCUCCGGCGGCAGCAAGUGCCCUUGCCAAUUUGCCUUCUUCCUUUUUUUAUCUAUUAAAUUUAGCUUAUUUUUUAGUUUGAUUUAAAUAAAAUUUGUAAUAAAAAUCAGAUAUAGAUAUAUUCCAUGUUUUAGCCAUGUCAUCACCACAAAAAGGAAGACGAUAUUUAAAAAGCCAAGUCAGUGUUUUCCAUUACUUUAGUUAGACAAAAUUAAUGGAAAAACUUGGUUGCAUCAAUUUAACAAGUUUAGACCUUAAUUGCAUUUUCUGUAAAUUUUAGGAUUGAAUUACACUUUUAUAACAAGUUUUAGGAUUUCUAGAUUACUUAUCUCUAAUUUAUAUUUUACCACAUUAUGAUUUAAACUAUCACAACCAACUGCUGCAAACUCCGUCUAGAUUUUAAUAUUGGAUCAUCGGGUCUUGAGUUUGAUCAUUCACUCUUUUCACCUUCAAUAAUUUUGGAAAAGUAUUAUAUCUGCAUAUUUCAUACUUUCACUCUUCUAUAUAACAGCGUUAGCAUCAAGAGCUAUUCAAAUAUAAAACUUAGUCGACUCUUUAUUAGCUCAAACCUUUGGAACUACUUAUUGCGCACGCCGACUAUAAGGAAAGCAAUGUCAUUCAUGCUCUUCUUUAGUACACCUCCAGGAGCACGUGUAAUUGAACCCUAUAUCUUGGAGAACUUUUGACAGCAAUUUUGGACCUUUUGGUUUCUAUCGGUCUUUGCAUGGAGGUGGUCAAUAUGAUAAACGAAGAUAAAGAAGAUAAGAUUUGCGACCUUAAGACAAAUAAUCGCAUAGGUUGGGCAUCAUGUGACAGCUCAAAUGUCGCACGAUCUAAAGUUUUAUAUUAGCACUGCCCUGGCUUUCUCGCCGCCAAGAAAACCCACUAAGUUGUGACGCCAAGCUGUCUUUUAUAAUGAACUCGAGUAGGAAACCGAGUACUCUCAAGUCAAAGGAAAUAACAAGCCGAGAAUGAACUAUUAUGAAUGUUAAGUUUGAGAAGUGGGUCCAUAUUUGAAACAUUGAACCUGACGGCAUCUCAUGAACAAAGAGGGAAGAAAAAUAGUCUUGAUUCAGCGAGGCACCCGGAAAUGUCCUCGGGAUUUCAUCCGGAACCGACAGGACACAAAAAUAGAGUCCCUGAAUAGAAGAAGGAAGCCAGCAUGCUUCCACAAUCCAGAAGUCUGAGAAAUAAGCACGCGUAAACUUUCCUGAUUCAUCAUUGCACCCGUGUUCAGAAGAAUGUCUGAGCAAGUAGAAAUUUCCCAUGUUUGUAUAGGCACAUGCAUCCAUGAUCUCCUGUGAUUCUAUUUGGGCGUGACUUGUGCACACUCGUUUAUGUUGUGGGUUUGAGAGAGAGGGAGAGAUAUCUCGUUUGAUGCAACUUCAAGCGUGAAUCUGCUUGGACAUGAGCUGCGAUGCAUACUUCUGUACCCUACGGAUGUUUUGUCUGGUGAAGGAAUUGCAAAGAAAUGCCAGGGGUAAAAGAUAAUAUCAUGGAUAACCCGAAUAACAUCCUGUGAAAACAUUGAUAACCAUAAGGAUAUCUUUUCUUCGGAGAUGGGAUGAUUAAGCAUUAACAGAUUGUUGUUGGUCGCAAGUGCUCGAACAAGCAAUUCUUUAGCUUCUUCCUGCUUCUUCUUUAGCAUGUUGCAGAUCUGUAAGACAAUUCCCUUAGUCAGCCAAUGUAUUACUAGCAGAAAGAUCACAACGAUGGUAGAGUAGACAAGAGGCAACACUUCAAUGCCAGUCUAUGUUCCAAUCGCCUUCUGAAAACUCAAUUGCUAAUUAUAGACCUUUAAUUAAAAAAAAAAAUAGUUAUAAAGUACCAUAGAUUCAUCUUUAAGGAUAAUCAGGUUGGACUGUAGAAGAAAUCACAAUUUCCGUAUUAGAAAGAUUCUCUCCAUCGGUUGAUUUCUAGUUGUACAAAUUCAUUAAAUGAAGAUGAUUAAUGUCAAUGAACCCAUAACCAAAUUAUCGGAAGUGAGCAAACAUCCAGUAGUGAAAACUACAAAUUCAAGAAAUCGUUCGUCAACUCCCCUAACCACCNNNNNNNNNNNNNNNNNNNNNNNNNNNNNNNNNNNNNNNNNNNNNNNNNNNNNNNNNNNNNNNNNNNNNNNNNNNNNNNNNNNNNNNNNNNNNNNNNNNNNNNNNNNNNNNNNNNNNNNNNNNNNNNNNNNNNNNNNNNNNNNNNNNNNNNNNNNNNNNNNNNNNNNNNNNNNNNNNNNNNNNNNNNNNNNNNNNNNNNNNNNNNNNNNNNNNNNNNNNNNNNNNNNNNNNNNNNNNNNNNNNNNNNNNNNNNNNNNNNNNNNNNNNNNNNNNNNNNNNNNNNNNNNNNNNNNNNNNNNNNNNNNNNNNNNNNNNNNNNNNNNNNNNNNNNNNNNNNNNNNNNNNNNNNNNNNNNNNNNNNNNNNNNNNNNNNNNNNNNNNNNNNNNNNNNNNNNNNNNNNNNNNNNNNNNNNNNNNNNNNNNNNNNNNNNNNNNNNNNNNNNNNNNNNNNNNNNNNNNNNNNNNNNNNNNNNNNNNNNNNNNNNNNNNNNNNNNNNNNNNNNNNNNNNNNNNNNNNNNNNNNNNNNNNNNNNNNNNNNNNNNNNNNNNNNNNNNNNNNNNNNNNNNNNNNNNNNNNNNNNNNNNNNNNNNNNNNNNNNNNNNNNNNNNNNNNNNNNNNNNNNNNNNNNNNNNNNNNNNNNNNNNNNNNNNNNNNNNNNNNNNNNNNNNNNNNNNNNNNNNNNNNNNNNNNNNNNNNNNNNNNNNNNNNNNNNNNNNNNNNNNNNNNNNNNNNNNNNNNNNNNNNNNNNNNNNNNNNNNNNNNNNNNNNNNNNNNNNNNNNNNNNNNNNNNNNNNNNNNNNNNNNNNNNNNNNNNNNNNNNNNNNNNNNNNNNNNNNNNNNNNNNNNNNNNNNNNNNNNNNNNNNNNNNNNNNNNNNNNNNNNNNNNNNNNNNNNNNNNNNNNNNNNNNNNNNNNNNNNNNNNNNNNNNNNNNNNNNNNNNNNNNNNNNNNNNNNNNNNNNNNNNNNNNNNNNNNNNNNNNNNNNNNNNNNNNNNNNNNNNNNNNNNNNNNNNNNNNNNNNNNNNNNNNNNNNNNNNNNNNNNNNNNNNNNNNNNNNNNNNAUGGACUUCCACUUCAGUGGAACUCGCCUUAGGGGAAAUCUUAACAUGAAAUUUAGGAUGGUCACAAGACACUCUGUUGGUUUUGCUCUGUUCAGUGUCCUCAUGAUUGCAAACCUGAUACGUAUGAUCUAAGAAACCAGCAAGAAAUGAGUUUCGACUCUCUGUUGAAAUAGAAAAACUUAAGAAGGUUCUGUCCAUUUACCGGUUCAGUGACAACAGCUUCGGAGGAUUCGCUGAAACUUCUGAAGUGUCAAGGGUAAGAACAUUACUUCCACAAACAAAACCCAGUCACAGGAGCGAAGGUAGUGGAAUUAUUAGCACUCUUCACCUUUUUCCACCUGGAGACUCAGAGGGCGAUUCCAGUGGACUAGAUGACAUCCCCUGCAAAAUAGACACACCAAUUCUAAUGCAUUACAAAAUAGCAUCCCCAUAAUUGUAUUUGCAACGCCCUAUUGAAGAGGUCUAAGGUAUUACUUGGAAGUGAAGAGCAAACAAUAGAAAGGAACCUCAGAUGAUUUCCCUUAUGAAUUGAGAAGUGGCUGGUUUUAUUGGUUUACCUGUUCUGUGACAACAGUUUCUGAGGAUUCUCUGAAACUUCUAAAGUGUUGAGUAAGAACAUUACUUCCACAAACAACCCGGUCACAGGAGCAAGUAUAAUGGCGCUAUUAACACUCUUCACCUUUUCUCACUUGGAGACUGAAAGAGCAGUUUUGAUGGACUAAAUGGCAUUAAAUUGGCAUCUGAUCCCUGCAAUAUACACUCAUGGCUUCUAAUGCAUUACAAAGUAGCAUCCCCAUAAGUAUAUUAGAGCAAACAACAGAAAGGAACCGCAUAUGAUUUCCAUUUCAAGGAUGAAUUGGGAAGUGACUGGUUUUCGGUGCUUUUGCUACGAUGAGCUAACGAAUGUGCUGCAUCUCCUCGCAUUGCUGUAAUUUGCUCAGAGUCUCUCAUGGAACUGAUUUCCUCUGUAGGACUAGAACCAAGUUGAUCUUCUUUGGUUCUUGUGGCCCUGCGCACAUUGACAUCAUGAUCUCUUGAGAGUNNNNNNNNNNNNNNNNNNNNNNNNNNNNNNNNNNNNNNNNNNNNNNNNNNNNNNNNNNNNNNNNNNNNNNNNNNNNNNNNNNNNNNNNNNNNNNNNNNNNNNNNNNNNNNNNNNNNNNNNNNNNNNNNNNNNNNNNNNNNNNNNNNNNNNNNNNNNNNNNNNNNNNNNNNNNNNNNNNNNNNNNNNNNNNNNNNNNUAGGUGUCAACAACUCAUUUAUACUGCCCAUCUUGCAGAGGGGAACUGCAAAAGUUUAGCGCAAGCAGAUUAAGCAUAAGCGUACGCAAAUUAAUGCUGUGUCAAAGGUCUAGUCCACUAUAUGCAAUCUACUUGCUAGCAUUGGCAAUGUCUAAGACGGGACAUGACAUAACAUGAACAGAAUCAAACAUAAAAUUCAUAUGACAUGACAUUGGCAUAACCUUUCUGUAAUGAGGGGUUAUUUCAGUCUUGAAAGUAUAUAUCAUUUAAAGGAAUAUCACUCUCCCAUGCCAUGUGACCCAAAAGUUCAAACUGAACAUGAACAUAUCAUGCUACAGCUCCCACUUCCAGGCUUGUAGUCUUCUAGCAGAUAAUUUAGUCAUGUUUUACCAGAGACAAAGAUGCCAAUAUCUACUUCAAAGAAUAGUACGAGAAAUUUAAUGAGCUUUCCUGGCCAAUAAUAAAGGGAGACUUAGACUUGAGAGACAAUUGCAAGUAAAGGUUUAUAAUUUCGGCUGAAAGGGCUUUAAUUUCAUCAACAGAAAGCAAAUAAUCAAGAACAUAUCUACAUGUGUUGAUCAAACUAGAAAUAUACAGCAAUUAGGAAAGUGUCCAAUGUCUCAACGCAAACUAUGAUAUACAAUUAAAAAAAAAAAAAUUCUCAUUUUACCCUAGUUGAAAGUCCGACGGAACAGAAGAGUAAUAACCAGGGCAUCUUUAUAUCGGGAACAAAUAAACUUUCCCUUUUUUAUUUUGAGUUAGUGUGUGGGUGGGGGAGUGGCAGCAGGGAGGAGAUAACUUAAACAUUACUUGUUAGAUACUGUUAAAUGAAGUACGUGGGAAAAAUAAAAUGCUAGAAUUUGAACAAAAUUUCAAACAGCUCAACAAUUACAACUCAAUUGGGUACGGAUGCCUCACCUCAGAUGAGAAGUGGGUCUCACACUGAUAUGGCUUCCACUGACUUUUUGUUUGCUCCCUUGCUGGUGAAUUUCGACCAAAAAGCAACUUUCCCCCAACUUGAGAAUCCUCGGCAUUGUUUCCCAACCUGUUGCAGAUUGCAUGAACCAUGUGAAGGUAUAAAGCAUAUCAAAGAAACUAAAAUCAAAAAGAAAAUCUUCACCUAGUGUCAUUUAGAUGUACAGAAGCAAGUCUUUUGCUGCUAAAUUGAGUAAGCUUUCUCCCAGUUGAUGGUUCUCGAGAAGACUGACUCUUUAUUUCCUCUGAUCUCUUGGAAAACUUUGAAUGGGCUUGUCCAGGCUCUCUACCAGUAAAGAAAGAGGACGAUAUUUAAGUGCAGGUCCUCCGCUUGGGACAUUUACAUGUUACUAAAAGUGAGCUAAGAAGUGCAAAAACAUUAUGCUGUUGAUCCAACAAUCUUUAUACUGAACUCUGGAAGUCACCAUAAAAUGCAUCAAAAUGAUAGCAAAAACUCAAUGAAUGAGUGCAUCAGACUGAAAUCACAACUUGCAUUCCCCUCCUUAAAAAUUAAGCUACGAUGCAUAUGCUUUCUAAAUUUUCACAAAAUCGAUCAUCAAGAGUCCAUGUUUCUUAAAAGGAGCCAUUAAUGGCGCAUUGCUCUAAUUUGGCAUGGCAGAAACUUGCCAAUAUCAUCCUAAUAUAGAUUCCCCCUCGUUCCUCUAAUCACUUAAAGGUAAGGGAUAAAUGGGACAACCUGAAAACAGCUGUUUCACUGUCAUGCAGUACUUUGCUUGGGAUAAUACAGGCUGUAUCAUUAAGACUUGUCUCAGGCUUGGCCUCUUCAUCGUGAGCCUUAGUAGCAUUCAAUGAAUCAAAAAUAGGUUUAUUGCUUCCAUUUGCCUUGCCUUCUGCUCCUGGCACAUGUGGCACACUUGAAACUUCUGACUGCAUGUUGCCAUGAGAAUAUGUAGCUUCCCCUAUAAUUUCUUUCCUGUUACUCUGCUCUUCACCCAAAGUGGAAUUUAAACUUUUGAAGAUAGACAAAUCUUUUCUUGGAUGCUCUGGGAUGGUACUUAAAUUUGUGUCAACCCCGGGCUAAAUAUGUACCUCUAUUGAGGCUGUUUUGUCUGACAAAUAAUCUUGUUGGUCAGAUCCUUGAGAACACGUGAUGUUUGUCCUUUCGAAAGAAGAUUGUUGUGGAAUUGAAAUUCUACAUGCUGCGGGCUUUGGCACCCAAUCAUCCAUUCUUGGGUUUGGCAUAGAAGUUGAAGUUACAGAAGUUCCUACUUGAAUCUCUGAUGUACCCACACAGCACGUUGAUUGAAUAUUAUCAAUCAUAGUGUUAUCCUCACAGUCAGGAAUUGCCUCAGGAAGGCGUGUUUCCGAGCCCUGUUGCUCAUUCAUCUCCAAUGAUCUCCCUUUGCUUCCUAUAACCUUCUUCCCACCUUGUUCUUCCUUAGUCAUGGGUGAAUCAAGAUUAAAGCCAUCCAACCUGGAUAGCACAAAUGGCUGCUAAGUUCAUAGAUUGCAAUCACAAGUCAUGACAUUUCCCUUCACUUGAAAAUAUAACCUUAUGUAUCAAAGAAUAUGCCCUAAUGUAUGCAUUGUGAAGCUGUCUUACCCAUUAAAAUCAAAGGAGAAAGAAAAUCUUUUCUUAAAAUUUCCUUCAUCAGGUGAUUCUGCUUCAUUUCUGUCAUGUUUGGAGAUUUCUUAGAUAGGCAGAAGAAAUCAAGAUCCGGCAUGUCCACUUUGAAUGAUGAAAACUUGUUAAAGUCAGCAUCCACGUUAAAAUCGACAUCCCUGAAAAAGGAUAUUUAACAAUCAAUCCACAGAAAACAGAGAUAUAUCCCACUCUCAUAACAAAUAAGAUUGUAACUAGCUUUCAUGCAUGUUCACCAUCGUCCAUCAUUUUAAUAAUUUUUGAAGUGGAUGAAUGAUAUGUAAAGCAUGGCUCGCUCGAUCACCACGGGCAGUAUUCUCCACAAACAGGUAAUUGUACACGGGUGAAUAUAUGUAACCAACUCAAGUAUGAAGAUAGAAUAUUAAAGUUACAUCCCACAUCCAUACUGGUUUAUUAUCUAGCUGCCCAUACUUUAAGUUUCACUUACAGUUUAUCAAUGUUGAAUUUCUUCAUUUUGCCUUUGCCAACAGUAUCAAAGCUAAAAUCCACUGUGUCAUCUUCUGCCACAGACAACGACUUCCAGGAGGUAAGGAACUCCUUUCCAAAUUCAGCAUCUGUUGAAAUCAGAUUUAACAUUGAGCUAUGACCUACAUAUCUGACCUUCAUAAGACAUGGCCAGAAAUGUGUACAAGCAAUCAUCCUAAUCAAUGACAAGGAUGAAAACCAAUUUUAACAUUAAUAAAGCUUUAAUUUGUUUUCAAGUAGAUGAAAAGUAUGCUGCACUAAUUAUUGACCACGAUAUCCAAAAGAGUCAUGUGUCAGGCCAUAUUACAAAAAUAACCUAAACAGAUUAUAUAGGUUUAGGAUUGAGAAAUAUGCAUCCUUGUGGUACCAUUCCACCUCUGAAGCGAAUUUACUGUAUUUUGAGAUUUGUCAAGCUUAUACAGAGUACCUAGUAAUGAUUUAUCCUCUUUCUGAUUCACCACUGCAGUUUCCUUAGGUGAAUCUGCCAUCUGCAAGGGAAAGAGUGAGGAAAGCAUAAUAAAAAAGAGAAUUCAAAUGGCCCUUAGAAUUUACAAAAGAAAAGGGAGAUUUUAAUUGCAAAUCCAUUAGGUUGGCUAUACUACACAGCAACCUCCUCUCUUCGUAAAAGCAACCUCUCUUUGUUAAACCAUUGCAUCUAUAACAUUUUUGCACUUAUCUUACGCAGAAGCAUAUAUAAACUAACCUAGGAGGGACCUUAGCCAGUCCAUUAAAGUGAAAAACCCACACAUGACAUGCAGACAGUUCAUAAAGGAGCAGCAUUGACUUAUACAAAAUGGUUAGGUGCAGAGUUGCGAGCUCUAAAUUUAAAACCGUGGGGCCAGAAACACCCAUAUAUACAUGCCACUAUCGUAUAUCUGUGAAGAUUCAUUUUUCAUCCUUCCACAAAUGCAAAGAUAAAGGAUCUCCAAUUUGACAGCAGUGAUAAGAUGGACACCUAAUCAGUACAAUAAAGUAAGGAUCAUCUCAAGAUUUCUCAGCCUUGAUUCAAAGGGACAUAAGUCUCUCAUACUUUCGAUAUGAAAUGUCUGAAGGAGUUCAACUAGACCACAAGUGGAAACCACUAUAGCUAUUACAAAGGAUGAACAAAUGCAGUAUUAAUAAGUUCAUACGGGGGCAAAGCACAGGGCUAAUCCAGUAUAAUCUAUCCCAAGAAAAUAACACUGAUGCUAUUUUAACAUGAGAAACCAUAGCAUUGGGUUUUAGCCAAUGAAUUAAUGGCUGUCGUAUGACUGCCUAAAAUAUAUAGGUCCUCCUAUCACAUUCAUAUCAUCUGAUUUCCAGUACAGAGAAGUUCAAUUAAAAUGAAUGUAAUUGAGAAAAAAAGAAAUACAUCAGAACAGCAACUUAUCAUGACAUCAUUUCUACGAAAACAGAUGCCGAGAAAUAGCAUUACCUUUGUAUGUAAAUGCCGUAAGUCAUAGUGAUUUCCUCUGAAUAAGCGCCUACAUUGCGCUCAAACUGCAAGGAGCUAUAUACCUCCAGCAAAAGGAUUACACCAAUUUUGAACGCAAACUUAUCCACAAGCUUGUUCCAGAGGUAUAUCAGAGAGAGAUAAACGUAGCAAUCGAGAAGAAAUUCUUUGCUGCGCCUAACCUCCAAAAUUAUAGAUGGUGCUCCAACGAACUCGAUAAAGCCAAUCUACAUUGAUCACAAAGACGUCUUCCGACAUCAAACGGACCUACUGUGACGGCAGGGUGGGAGACGCAAAACGAGCGAACGCGAAACGGCGAGUGACAACUGAGCGCGGAAUCAAACAGGUGAGAGUCCGAAGGAACUCCUCAUCGGUACAGUUGGCAUCCCAUCAAAUCCACCAUCGGAAAACUAAGCGCGCUCGCUAAGUACCUCCGCUCAACACUACGAAACAAUCAGCGAAAGCUGAUGGUUCAGAGGCACGGAGCAACGAGACACUGAAGAAGCCACGGCCAGAAGAAGAAAUCGACGGAUUGCGAAAGCUCGAGAUCGAUUCGCACGUCGACAUUACCUUCCUUGCGAUCGCGACAGGGAGCGAGCUCGAGCGUGGGGGAGAGAGAGAGAGAGAUCGAUCGGCUGGAUUUGAAUGGAGAUGAGAGUGAAGUAAUCUGGUUUUUCUACAGGUUUUUGAAUGGCGACUCUUUAUAUAGAGAGAGAGACGGAGAGUAGCUUUGUCGCGACCUACCCUCGGGGGAGGGAACAGGUUUAGGGGUAUUGCCUAAGGAAGGGCCUAAGGCUCAUGAUUAGGUAUGAGCUCCCAUACCCCGCGUGACAUUGGGAUAUUCUUAAGGAAUUUUGCACAAAAGGUGUCGCCAUUAGCUUAUUGGGGUCGGCUAGAAACCAAGUGAGGCAUGGGAGUGUGUCUCACUUCCUACGCAACCAGAGAAUCUAGGAUCGGGGACUUGAUUACACUAAUUAACCAAUUAGUGCCCUUUCGGUACCUAAUCUUGUUCAUUUUAACAAAAUGAUGUUUGGCAAGUAGUUUAGAUUGAUUUUAUACCAUGUGAGGUGAUCAUGCAGAUACGCAGUCAUUAAAAUAACAAUCAUAACUACCAAAAUCCUAAUUGCAAUCAAAUUAAACACGUACAAUUAAACAUAAUUAGAUACGUAAAUCAAACAUGUAACAUAAUUAAUAUGCGAGCAAAUAAAUGCUUAAUUAUACUAACAUGGCAAGAUAUAGCAAUUCCUAACCAAAUCCCAUCAUUUUUUUUAUUUUCUAAAUUUUUUUAAUUUUUUUAAAAGAAAAAUAAUUAUUUUUAAAUUUUUUUUAAUUUUUUAAUUUUUAAUAUUUUUUGAAUUUUCGAAAUUUUUUUUUAAAUAAUAAAUUAAUUUUUGAGACCGGGCCGGUCCAACCCGGCCCGGGUUCGGCCCCGUCGACGCGGAUUGGACCGGACCCGGGUUCGGUCCAAUAGGCCCAAGUGGGUCUGAAGCUUGGGCCCAGCCCAAGAAGUCUCCCUCCUCCCUUUUUAAAAGAAAGCAAGCCCACAAGCCUAUACUAAACCAGCCCAAGCCCAAAAGCCCACAAGUAGAAACAACCCAAACCCGGCCCAAUUCACCUAAAACCCUACCCAUUUCUUUGACCCGGUUUGUACCUCCUCUUUAGGGUUCUGUGUUGACGGCGGUGGCGGCGACGCGGCGGGCGGUGGCGGCGACGCGGCGUCUGCGAAGACGAGUGGCACUCGGGCAGAGGAGGGCGUCACGGACGUGUGUGCAGCAGGCAAGGGCCGGUGUGGGGCUCGCUCGGCGGUGACUGGCGAGGCAGCUCGAACGGCGUCGGGUUGAGGGCGGUGAUGGGUGAGCGACGGCACCGGCUGCAGCGAGGGGAUUCGGACGGUGACUAGAGCGGGACGGUGGCGGUGGUCGGCCUGGUGGUGCAGCGGAGUUCGAUCAACUCCCAGAUCUGGUUCGUCUCCGGCUGGUUCGGCGUCGGGAACGCUGUGGGCGGCGAACGACGGCAGCAGCAGCAGGGAGGCGGUGUUUCGGCGAGGGGCGGUGACGACGUCAAGGUCGGCGAACAGGAGCUCGGCUGCUGCAGGUUGCAUGGCGAGGGGACGCAGCGACCGACUUGGGUGAAGCGGCGGUGGCACGAGGAUUAGUGAGUAGGAGCAGAGGCAGUGUCGUGGGGGCUCGGGAUCUGGUGUUCGGGCAGGAGGGGCGGCCGGAGGCGUCGAGUUGCAAGGUCGACGGCAGCAAUGGCGGCAAGCAGGGACGGCAAAUAGCAACAGCUCGUCAGGGCCGGCGGAAAAACGCCCGUUGGUCGUCGUGGGUCAGCUGCGGGAGCAGCGGAGACAGACGGAGGGCGAGGUUGCUCGUGGAGACGCAGCAGAACGGCGAAUGCUGGGCCGAGGCGUCGCGAGGUCGACGGGCGGCACUCGGACAGAGGGGGGGGGGGGGGUCGGUCGAACGGCAACGGCGGCAGCGGUGGUGCCGCCACCGCCCUUCCUUCCGGUUUUCCCUCUCUUUUUCUCCUCUCUCUUUCUGCGUUUUUUUUUGUUCUGGAUCCUCUCCCUCUCUCUGUCUGGUCCCUCCUACACUGGCCGGCUCCCUCCUCUUUUCCUAGUUCCCAACCCCCUUUCGAAAACCCUAGCUACCGAGAGAAGAAGACCCUGGGCGCGGGCUGGGCUCAACUAGAAACAAAAGUGGGCCGGCCCUGCGCGAGAGAAAAAAAAAAGGAAUAGGGGGCGGUGGGCUGGUUUGAGGCUGGAUCCGGCCCAAUCCACCCUCUAAGUAAUUUUUCAUUUUUUUUUCUAUUUUCUAUUUUCUUUUUCUUUUUCUUUUGUUGUUGUUUUGCUAUUUUUUUUUCUUUUUCUCUAAUAAUUUUUUGUACUUGAAAACAAAAAUUGGGUGUCAACAGCUGCCCCUCUUUUAAUGUUGUCUCGAAGAGGUUGCAUUCAAAGACAAAAGACACCUAAAUUAUUUAUGUAGUAGAGAGACCCUGAGUACAUAGGCACGCGUUAGGUCGACAAAAAUGAUUCAUAACUAUGAAAGCACGUCUUGCAAAUAAGAUGAAGAAAGACUUCGGGCUACAGAAGCCUACCGGGUCAUAAGAUGGGAGGGAGACUCCGAGAUACAAAGCUCUCUAGGUCAUAAGAAGUGAGGAAGACUCCAGGAUACAAAGCUCUCCGGGUCAUGAGAAGGGAGGAAGACUCCAAGAUACAAAGCUCUCCGGGUCAUGAGAAGGGAGGAAGACUCCAGGAUACAAAGCUCUUCGGGUCAUGAGAAAUGAGGAAGACUCCAGGAUACAAAGCUCUCCGGGUCAUAAGAAGUGAUGAAGACUCCAUGAUACAAAACUCUCCGGGUCAUGAGAAGGGAGGAAGAUUCCAGGAUACAAAGCUCUCCGGGUCAUGAGAAGUGAGGAAGACUCUAGGAUACAAAGCUCUCCGGGUCAUGAGAAGGGAGGAAGACUCUAGGAUACAAAGCUCUCCGGGUCAUGAGAAAUGAGGAAGACUCCAGGAUACAAAGCUCUCCGGGUCAUGAGAAAUGAGGAAGACUCCAGGAUACAAAGCUCUCCGGGUCAUGAGAAAGGAGGAAGACUCCAGGAUACAAAGCUCUCCGGGUCAUGAGAAGGGGUCAUGAGAAGUGAUGAAGACUCCAGGAUACAAAGCUCUCCAGGUCAUGAGAAGGGAGGAAGACUCCAAGAUACAAAGCUCUCCGGGUCAUGAGAAAUGAGGAAGACUCUAGGAUACAAGGCUCUCCGGGUCAUAAGAAGUGAUGAAGACUCCAGGAUACAAAGCUCUCCGGGUCAUGAGAAAUGAGGAAGACUCCAGGAUACAAGGCUCUCCGGGUCAUAAGAAGUGAUGAAGACUCCAGGAUACAAAGCUCUCCGGGUCAUAAGAAGUGAUGAAGACUCCAGGAUCCAAAACUCUCCGGGUCGUAAGAAGUGAUGAAGACUCCAUGAUACAAAGCUCUUCGGGUCAUAAGAAAUGAUAUGACUGAGGUCUCAUAUUGUAAAAUGAGUUUUGAUUGGGUAUGAUAGUCUCACUGUGCAUGAACGGGUUUCGACUGGGAGGCGGACAAGCGUGGUUUACGGAUGAACCCACCAAUCUUGGAGAUGAGAUGGUUUAAGGUUAACCAUAAGCCUUUGGAGACGACAUGGUUUAAGGCUGACCAUCAACCUUUGGUUUUUAUGGAAGCACCCGCUAAACCCUUAGAAAACUGCAUGGCUUCACUGAUGAAUCCUGUCAAACUCAACUUGAGCAAAUGUCAUUAGAGAUGUCAUCAAGAGAUGUAUUGGCAAUAUUGCAGCAAUAAUUGAACAAAAUAAUCAAGCUAAGUCCGACUGCUUUAGAAAAACAUUCGAUGUCCAUCAGCCUCAUGUGGCGUAAAACUAUCAUCCUGCUCAUGGAUAUAUCAUUAAUCAUCAAAUUCUCUAGGAGACAAGUUCUCAUCAGAACAGUUACGACUCGAGAAAAAGGUUCAUUAAGCAUGCCAAACUAGAGCUUCUUAGUCAGAAAGGGUUUCUCACGCACUCUCAAUAAAAUGAUUACUUGAUCCCAUCCAUUAAUGUGGAAGAUAAUUGAUUGCUGAAGGUAUCUCACAUAACCUACGUCGAAGACUUCCGGAAACAUUCGCAAUGAGCACAAUCUGAUCGAUAAAAAAUGUCUUUUGAAAGGACCGCAAUAUAGGCUCGGUUAGGGCUUAUACACAGGAAUUAUUGCUUUGAGGCCAAUAAAGGAACAUUUGUCACUAUCUUCAUCGGCUUUACAAGUCGAGAGCUUGGGAGAUGAGACAAGAUAGAAUUACUUCCACUCCUUCAAGUAGUAGCUUCUUUGUGGCAUUCUCAUUUUCACUCAAACCAUCCCAAUCAGAAGAGACUUCGGAAGAGGGUUGUAAUGUUGGCUUGGGGAGAGGCUCGAAAGGCUUAAAACUUUCAACAGGGUCUUUAGGAGUCGAUGAUCAUCAUGGCAUCAUGACCAGGUCACUUGAUCUUUCCAAAUCAUUUGGCUUUUGAAAUAUAACGCAUCUCGAAAGUCCAUUGACUAAUCAUUUAUGCAUGGGAGCUUUGCCCGCUUUUUCUAAUUUUCUUUGCACUUGCAAUGAUUUUUUUUUUUUGCAGGCACUUGGACUUUGAUAAUAAUUUUUUUUUCACAUAAGAUGCAGCCUUUUGGCUUUUUUUUUUUAUGGGCAUUGGCCUUGCUUUUACCAGGCACACUGCUUUUUUAUGCCCCCUAAUUUGUCUAACUUUUUGCUCUUUGAACUUUUGGAGCUCUUAUGACUUUCAAGAUGCUUUUCGCAUUUCCUCAUGAUUGUCAAUUAUAUUUGGUCAAUUCUUAUGCCUUGCCCUAGUGAAGGGAGAUGAUCACCACUCAGGAUUCAGAAAUGAAUAAUCAGGCCCAAAUUAGUUGAAGCAAUGGGUAUCAGUGUUUGGAUAGAGAAUGAGAUGUUCUUCUUUACAUUGGGAUGAGUCAAGAUCUAAUGAGAAUUCCUUUGAAGCUAUCACCAGAAGAUUGAUGCAAGUGAAAGUAAUAGGAUCUUUCCCAAUCAUUCGCUCUACAACACGACCAUAACCUCCUAUGUUGCCCCAAUGUAGGGUCGUCCUUGACAGGGGUACUUUGAAUGAUCGUCUUUAUUUUGCCCAAAGGGAUAGGAAGAGAUUAGUGCAAUGCUUGGGAUUGAUGAAGGAAACGCCUUUAUCAUUUCGAUCUUUGCGCUCAAUGCGAAUGAAUCAUUCAUUCUAAGAGAAUGUCGCUUUUCACUCAACUCUCAAAAGUGUUUGAAGGACACUCAACUCUCAAAAGUGUUUGAAGGACGUGUUUGGAAAUGGGCUUACCUUUCUUCAUCCUAAGCACUUCUUGUUUGGCAUGGUUAACGUCUCAAUCUCACUCUGUCGAGAUCAUCUGAGUAGAUCAAUCUCCAUAAGGAAAUUUGAUUUUAAAUGAAAUACCCACAAAACCAGAAAACAAUUUUGAGAUAAAAAUGAUGCUAAAAAAUUUUGAAUAAAUUUUUUGUUUUUCAUUUUUCAUUUUUGUGCUUAUUUCUAGAAACGCGUCAAGGAUCUUUUCGUAAUGGAAAUUCUCUUUCUUUUUUUUCUUUACUUACUUUUUUUUUUUUUACUAAAAAAAAAAUGAGAAGAAUGGUACUUACCUGCGGUGUGAUGACCCGGUAAACCUGUAAAGAAUGUAAAAGAAUAUGUUAGUGCAAACAUCUUUAGGGAUUGAUGUGUUGAAAACGAUACAUUAUUACCCUUCAUUCGCUUUCAUCCUUUGGGUGGUAACAUCUCUUUGAUUCACCUUCGUGGAUAUUUGGUAACUCGACAAUACCCUUCAUUUGCAUUCUUCUUUAAGCGUUUGACGUUUUCCUAAUUCCUUGGUAGAAGACGUCGCUUCUACGGUCAAGAUGCAACUUUUAUCACCCUGUAAGAAGGGAAGAUGAAACGAGUUAUAUCUCAUUUCUUAGUUAGGUUCAACUAAGGAACGAUACAUCCUUCUUGAUGAAUUUGACAAUGUUGUUGUAGCGCACUUCAUUGGUGGGUGAAAGAGAGAUUUUUCUCUAAAUCAAAUGUUGUUCUCCCUCUUUAUAUGACAAACCUUGUUCCGUUCGAGUCUGUCCUGUACCAAAGAAAAUGAUAUGUCAUUUUCUAUACUGAAGAGAAAUCAAGUUUAGGAACGAGUUACAUCCUUUACAAAAUCGAGUGAUCAACAUCUCAAUGUAUCUCUCAUGGAGGAAGGAAUAAUAUUGCGCAUCCGUUCCAUUUGAAUCCUUCUUUGUUUAAGAUGAACAUGACUUAAUAAUGCUCCAUCGCAUUUGUUGAAACAUUACAAAACUUGGUACUCUUGAUGUCUCCUUGACAAUGAAAAGAAAAUCAAGUCAAAAACGGUAUCAGAAAUGAAUAAUUGAAAUCGAUACAGUUUACUCUUCCUUUGAAUUUGCCCUUUUGGAUAUUUGGCAACUCCUUUCAUUUGUCUCAUUAUGUAAAGUGAACGAGAUCGAUGGGUUGUUUUGGCAUCUAAGGCAUUUGCGAAUAACAAAACUUCUCAUAAUGGAAUUCAACUUCGUUUCGCCUCUAUGAAAAAUUGGUGCCGACCCUCAACGCAUGCUUGCUCUUCGAGUUCAAUGAGUCCAAGAAAACGACUACGUGAAGAGAGGGCAUUAAGCAACGUUGUCUUGAAAUUCAUUUUGGAAGGUAAACGUAUAGGUUCACUUAAAACACUUUUGAAUUUGCUCUUUUUUUUGUUUUUGUUUUUAUCUUCUUCUUUUUUAAAUGAUGAUUUUCAUGAAAUUGAAUUCCAUCAUUAAAAAUUUGAGUUGCACGAUUUACAAAAGCAACAAUUGGAUUCGCAAUCAAAACUCAAAAAGAAAAACAUGGUUCUUAACAAGAAUAAAGACUGAUAAAAUACAAGACUCUUUUACAGAUGAAAGUAAAAAAAAACAACUAUUGUCCUAGCUCUAGAAUUCACUUCCUCGAAUGGUCACCACGAGAAUGUCAAAGAGCAUCGCGCAUAACCUGCAAAAAGACGACAAUGUCAAUAUGCGAAUGAGAGAAAACGAUAUUUUAAUGACGUCACUUUUUAGAAUAAAAUCGAGGCGACGAUACAUGCCCCACAAUCCUUAUUACAGGACUUUAGUAUUUCGCCAAGAUUUUAUCAUAAGAGAAGAUAUCAUUAAAAUUAUCAAUCCACGAUCAUCAAUCGAAUGCCCACUUUUAUUCCAAAAGUUUCGUAUGCAAAAGAGUCAUUGAUUUUUGAAAGAUUGAUUUGUGAUUUUGCUCCUAGAAAAUGAAGUGAUUUUUAUUUUGAGAAAUUUGUACACAAAAUGAUUUGCAUUAUAGUCCCAAAAUGUGAGAAUGAGAAAAUUUGAUAAAAAAUGUAAUUUCAAUUUUUGUGCCCCAAUAUAAAAUGACAACUUGAAUUUUUUCUUUCUUUCCUUUUUCUUUUUCGAAAUGAUUUUGAGCCUGUAAUGAGAAAUUUAAACAAAACCAUGUGUUCAACAGUGCCAAAUCAAAAUGUUUAGAACUUGCAUUCAAAUGCUCACUUGUCAAAAGUGAUUGUCAAUUUUUCAAUCAUAAGCUUGCAUCACCGAGGGCAUUCGAUUGAUUUCCACAAAUUUCAAAAUUAAAAUGCAAUACAAAAUGAGCAAAUAAAAAGGGAAAUGAUACUUACAAUAGGUGUCGACCUUUGUCUCAUGCUUUUUUUUUUUUUUCCAAUCACAUAGAUAUGCACAUGGAAUGUAGUUCGAUUUCUACUCUAUAUGGCCCAAAAUGGAGCCAUGGGAUCACAGGACUGAACCAACAUGCUCGUGGCUAAGUCGUGUUACCCAUGACUCCGGCUUCGUCAAAGGAUCGACCCGUGUCGCAUGCUCGCAGACCAGGGUGGGGACCUCUAACAUCAAGAAAGAAAUUUCGAGGUUGAGAUGGGCGACUCAUACUACAUGCUUGUAGUCAGAGUGGUAUCCACCUCAACACCAUCCUAAGUAAUCCUAUGCGGCCCAGGUCCGGCGGCAGGUUGUGUGUGCUAAAGUGUAGUGCAAUGUAGGAGAUGCAUGCAUGACAAUUCAUAAGCAAUCAACACUUCAUACAUGAAUAAUAAACCAUACAUUCCUUCACCUCCCUACAAGACAAAGGUGAGCAAACACUUCCCCUUAUACCUCCCAUUCUACAAAAACAUUUAAUACCUUUAAUGUUAGAGACAUACUUGGAAUCCUUGCUACCAAACAAAAAUAUUUUUUUGAACAAGAUUAAUAUUGGUCUAAGUCCUCUAAGGUUUAAAACCAAACCAAGUCCCCAGCGGAGUCGCCAAGCUGUCGCGACCUACCCUCGGGGGGAGGGAACAGGUUUAGGGGUAUUGCCUAAGGACGGGCCUAAGGCUCAUGAUUAGGCAUGAGCUCUCCCAAGCCCAUACCCCGCGUGACAUUGGGAUAUUCUUAAGGAAUUUUGCACAAAAGGUGUCGCCACUAGCCUAUUGGGGUCGGUUAGAAACCAAGUGACGCAUGGGAGUGUGUCUCACUUCCUACGCAACCAGAGAAUCUAGAAUUGGGGACUUGAUUACACUAAUUAACCAAUUAGUGCCCUUUCGGUACCUAAUCUUGUUCAUUUUAACAAAAUGAUGUUUGGCAAGUAGUUUAGAAUGAUUUUAUACCAUGUGAGGUGAUCAUGCAGAUACGCAGUCAUUAAAAUAACAAUCAUAACUACCAAAAUCCUAAUUGCAGUCAAAUUAAACACGUACAAUUAAACAUAAUUAGAUACGUAAAUCAAACAUGUAACAUAAUUAAUAUGCGAGCAAAUAAAUGCCUAAUUAUACUAACAUGGCAAGAUAUAUCAAUUCCUAACCAAAUCCCAUCAUUUUUUUUAUUUUCUAAAUUUUUUUAAUUUUUUUAAUCUUUUUUAAAAGAAAAAUAAUUAUUUUUAAAUUAUUUUUUAAUUUUUUAAUUUUUUAAUUUUUAAUAUUUUUUGAAUUUUUGAAAUUUUUUUUUAAAUAAUAAAAUAAUUUUUGAGACCGGGCCGGUCCAACCCGGCCCGGGUUCGGCCCGGUUGACGCGGAUCGGACCGGACCCGGGUUCGGUCCAACAGGCCCAAGUGGGUCUGAAGCUUGGGCCCAGUCCAAGAAGUCUCCCUCCUCCCUUUUUAAAAGAAAGCAAGCCCACAAGCCUAUACUAAACCAGCCCAAGCCCAAAAGCCCACAAGCAGAAACAACCCAAACCCGGCCCGAUUCACCUAAAACCCUACCCAUUUCUUUGACCCGGUUUGUACCUCCUCUUUAGGGUUCUGUGUUGACGGCAGUGGCGGCGACGCGGCGGGCGGUGGCGGCGACGCGGCGUCUGCGAAGACGAGCAGCACUCGGGCAGAGGAGGGCGUCACGGACGUGUGUGCAGCAGGCAAGGGCCGGUGUGGGGCUCGCUCGGCGGUGACUGGCGAGGCAACUCGAACGGCGUCGGGUUGAGGGCGGUGAUGGGUGAGCGACGGCACCGGCUGCAGCGAGGGGAUUCGGAUGGUGACUAGAGCGGGACGGUGGCGGUGGUCGGCCUGGUGGUGCAGCGGAGUUCGAUCAACUCCCAGAUCUGGUUCGUCUCCGGCUGGUUCGGCGUCGGGAACGCUGUGGGCGGCGAACGACGGCAGCAGCAGCAGGGAGGCGGUGUUUCGGCGAGGGGCGGUGACGACGUCAAGGUCGGCGAACAGGAGCUCGGCUGCUGCCGGUUGCGUGGCGAGGGGACGCAGCGACCGGCUUGGGUGAAGCGGCGGUGGCGCGAGGAUUAGUGAGCAGGAGCAGAGGCAGUGUCGUGGGGGCUCGGGAUCUGGUGUUCGGGCAGGAGGGGCGGCUGGAGGCGUCGAGUUGCAAGGUCGACGGCAGCAAUGGCGGCAAGCAGGGAUGGCAAAUAGCAACAGCUCGUCAGGGCCGGCGGAAAAACGCCCGUUGGUCGUCGUGGGUCAGCUGCGGGAGCGGCGGAGACAGACGGAGGGCGAGGUUGCUCGUGGAGACGCAGCAGAACGGCGAAUGCUGGGCCGAGGCGUCGCGAGGUCGACGGGCGGCACUCGGACAGAGGGGGGGGGGGGUCGGUCGAACGGCAACAGCGGCGGCGGUGGCGCCGCCACCGCCCUUCCUUCCGGUUUUCCCUCUCUUUUUCUCCUCUCUCUCUUUCUGCGUUUUUUUUUUUGUUUUGGAUCCUCUCCCUCUCUCUGUCUGGUCCCUCCUACACUGGCCGGCUCCCUCCUCUUAUCCUAGUUCCCAACCCCCUUUCGAAAACCCUAGCUACCGAGAGAAGAAGACCCUGGGUGCGGGCUGGGCUCAACUAGAAAGAAAAGUGGGCCGGCCCUGCGCGAGAGAAAAAAAAAAGGAAUAGGGGGCGGUGGGCCGGUUUGAGGCUGGAUCCGGCCCAAUCCGCCCUCUAAGUAAUUUUUCAUUUUUUUUCUAUUUUCUAUUUUCUUUUUCUUUUUCUUUUGUUGUUGUUUUGCUCUUUUUUUUCUUUUUCUCUAAUAAUUUUUUGUACUUGAAAACAAAAAUUGGGUGUCAACAAGCUUUGAAAGAGGCGGGACCGGAAAAGCGACGGAAAUCGGGCGGAGGUUCACUCGAGCGUCAUGCGUUCGCCGAGAGUUUUCCCGACGGGACAGAAGAAAAUCCCGAUUUUGCCGCCCUCAGGGGAAACAUUUCCGCUUUGCUCCGUUCAUUUCAAGAAAAAAAAUUUAAAAAAAAAAAUCCUAAAAAUAAUUACUUCAAUCAUUUACAAAAAUUUAUAAAUAGUCAUUAAUUAUUUCAAAUAAUAACAAACGGUUGUUUUUAGAAAAAUAUAAUUACACAAUCCAUUUUCUGUAAAAUAAAUGAAAUUUAUCUUGAAAAAAAUCCAAUGAACCUAGAUAUCUGAAUCCAAAUAAAUUUUUAUUGUCAAUCACGUCAAUCUACGCUUGGGAACCACAUGAUGAAUCACCUUGAUGGAUUCAUGGCAUGUAAGCUCAAGUCGAGAUAAGCAUCUACCCUCACAUUGAAAUUCAAGGUGCUAUUGGCUGAUUACUAUCGAAGCCCAUCUCACAUUCCUAGUGUCACAAAAAAAAAAAAUGGGCAUUUCCUCCGAGGGCAACUUAAAGGUUGGAUUGAGCAGGACUUAGAGAAAUUGACAAGAAGAUGAAUAUCUUAUUAUGUUAUAAAAGAGGAUUUUUAGAAGUUGUAUAGCGUUGACAUUUGUCGUAGCUCAUCUGCUAUAGGAAUGUUGGGCUUAAAGUACCAACAAAAUACCAACAGCCCAUUGAGCUAGUCUAUCACCGGAGUCCUAUCAAAUACGAGUGGGAAAUUCAAAACCGGCAGUACACUUAAGCCCAAGCCCGUCCUUUGCAAAUUGAUUUAUUACACAAUUGUCUUUUCUAUGCGUAAUGACGAAAACUAUUAGUUAAACUUUUAAAUAAUAAUUAUUUUUCUUAUGGGGAUAAUUAUUUUUUUUUUAAAAUUUUGUCGAGAGUCAAGCAUGGUUGCUUUGUCGGAUUUUGUAAAGCUCGUGUCUCUAAUGUGUAAUCAGGGCUAUGAACGAUUGAGUUGAUUGGCCAUGGAAAUAGGUGAUGACCGAGUUUAGACGAGCUCGGGCGAACGUGUUUGGUAUUACACAGUGAGUCGGAGUACCUCUUCAACAAUACACCUCUUUUCUUUCGUUUCGAGAUAGUCGGCAACCCUCGACUCCGGCAUUCUGUCAUCCUGAUGUUAUAGUCCUUAAGAGAGCUGAGCGGACAUUUCGACCAUGUCUUAUGCUGCUAGGCAUCGACCGUGCGAAGGAAGGAGUAGAAGCAAUGAAGGUGAAUUUGAAGGAGGAGGAGCGUGAACUGGGGGAACUAGAGGAAGUGAACAGAGAAUCUCAAAGUAAUCAUGAUAACAUGGAGUAACUGAUAUGGAUGUAAAUUCAGCGCAAUUCCAUUUCUCUAGGAAGCUAGGAGUAUUGAAGAGUCUUCGCGUUACUCUAAUUAUGCUUGUAAACAGAGAUUUUCACUGGGUACCUAAGUGUCAGACUAUUGAAAUUCCUCACAAAUUUCACGGUUGCCAAUGUACAAUAGUCUCAAGCUAGAUUAGUAUCAGACUUUGCAGCACUUUUGUAGCAACUUUCAAAUGAAAACUUUUCAUUCGCUGAAAGCCCAAGGCAGCCCCAGGGGUGCCUUGAGCUUUCAGCUUUGGCUUUGCCCUUCAUUCUACUGUUCUCAUCUUCUUCGUUGGCUGAGCUGUUCAUCUUCUUCGUUGAGACAAACGAAUUGUGCAGGGCUGCUGACGGCGAGCGAUGAACUAGCGAGAGGCGGGCGACUAUCACGGCGACCGUCGCCGGUGGGUCAUGCGACCUCCGGCGGGCCGCAAGAUCUGGUCGCGCGACCCAAGCGCGACUCAGAUCUGGGUCGCCGGAGGUCGCAUGACCCACCGGCGACGGUCGCCGUGAUAGUCGCCCGCCUCUCGCUAGUUCAUCGCGGCGACUAGAUCUGGGUCGCGCCGGCGCCGGAGGUCACGCGACCUCAGGCGCGACCCAGAUAUGGUUGCUACAGGGUCGCGCAACCUCCGACGGACCCAGAUCUGGUCGCCAGGAGGUCGCGCGACCUCGCGGCGACCAGAUCUAGGUCGCGUCGGCACCGGAGGUCACGCGACCUCAGGCGCGACCUAGAUCUGGUCGUGCGACCUCCGGCGAACCCAGAUCUGGGUCGGGCGACCUCCGUGAAGGGCCGCCGGGGGUCACUCGACCCCAGGCGGCCCUGGCCGGGGGUCUCCCGACCCUCGGCGGCCCUCGCCGAUGGUCGCCCGACCCCAGGCGGCCCUCGCUGGAGGUCGCCGGGGGCUGCCUGAGGUCGCCGGCAGCCGCUUGCCUCAUCAGCCAAUAUUUUUACUUUUUAUUUUUAUUUUUUUAUUAAUCACAUAAGUUAUUUAUAAAUUUAUCUUUCCAAACAACAUUUUACACAAAGGUAUUUCAUAAGGGACUUUCAAACAACAAUUUACCAAACACAGUUUGCAUUUUGAAAAAUACCUUUAACUCAAAGUCUUUUGCAUUUUUCCAAAGGCUUUCUCCAAAAGUCUAUCCAAACGCACCCUUAGUCUCGAAAGUCCCUUGGGAAAAAGUUUAGGUAUUUGGUUAAGCAUUUAGAGGUGUCCUUGGCCAAAUAUUGGCCUCAGAAAUGUAAGUCCACAUCUACUAUUAUUAUUAUUAUUUUUAAAACCGAUCAUUUUCCCACACCGCAACCACCAAAACUCUUUGCGAAUGUUGGGUUCGUUUUUUUUUUUUUGUCAUUUUUAUCUUUUGACAAUCAAUAACCCAACUUUUUAUCAAUAUACUAGAAUGAUCAUUAAUUAACGAAGAUGAUUAAUACUACAAUAAUUAAAAAAAAAAUAUUCAAAGUUGAAAAUAAACCUAAAAGAACUCUAGGCCAAAAGUUGAGCUUUGCAUCUAAUCUAUAAUUAAAUUUUUUUAAUGUGAUUUUUAAAUAAAUUUACUAAUAUAUAUCUUUUACAUUACUCUCAACAUGAAAAUGUAAAAGGUUAUAUAGUCAUUGUUUCUUUUUUUGCAAUUUUAAAAAUACUAAAACUAAAAAACUUAAUUUAAUUACACUAAAAGGCUUUUCAAAUAUAUGUUUACCAAACAGUUUUGCAUUCCCUAAAGCGCUUUUCAGUUAUAGUUUACCAAACAGUCUAGCAUUUUGGAAAACCCUUUUAUCUCAAAGGUAUUUGCAUUUUCCCAAGAGCAUUUUCCCAAAGCCGAACCAAACGGAUUGGGACUGCCAACAUUUUGGCCACCAUUUAUUUCUCCAUGUCGGAAACGCUAGAACUGCGGAAAGAGAAUGGAAUCGGGUGUGGCAGUGAGAACAGCAGUUUCAACAUUAAUAACGACAAUGACGGCAGCAUCGACAAACGAAGGCUUCGCAAAAGAUGAUCGGGCUCUGCCGACAUCUUUCUCGUGAUCUCAAUCGGUCUAAAAUUAAUCUAUUCUGAGCAUGAAAACAUUUUGAAGACUUGUCUUCAGUAGUUGUUGAAAAAAGCUAUGUCAAACUUCGAAGCUUUCUUGGAAGGAUAUUGCAGGGUUCAGGGAAGGUUCCCAGAAACAUCUCCUUGCCCAAAAGAAAAAAAACAAGAACCGUGGGACCUGCAACUUGCACGCGCAUUUGAACAAGUACUUAGCCACCAAGUUUGAGCAUUCGAUCUAAUAGUCUUCCAUCGUUUAAAAAAAAUAAAAAAUAAAAAUAAAAUAAAAUAAAAUACAAAUAAAAAUAAAAAAAUACGACUUUCUGUUUCAACCAUUUUGCAAGUUCAGGGAAGGUUCCCAGAAGCAUCUCCUAAUUCAAAAGAAACAAAACAAGAACUGAUUUCGUAUAUAAAAUGGAGACUUUCUUGCUUCUUUUUUUUCCCGAUAGGUAAGAUACUUUUAUUAGCUUAAUAUAAGGAAAGGAUGGAUCAGAGAGAAUAAAUAAAAUAUUUGUGCAAAAAAGCAAAGAAAAUAAAAAAGUAAUAAUACUUGGAAUGGGGUAAAUUAAUGCAUAAUGAAAGUUUGGUUCCUUGACUUCCACGUAUGUCAUGCCAUAAUCACGUUCUUCCGAACUGUUGCACAUGGGGCCUGCAACUGCACGCGCGACAAGCCAGCUAGCUGUGACCGUCCUCAGAUGUAAACGUCCUCAGUUGGCUCCUGCUAAUGGGGCCUUCAACUGCAUUCACAAGUGUGUCGACCACAACUUUAGUUUCUUUUUAAUCAUCGACCAAUAGCAUUCGAUCUUAUGGUCUUCGUAGUAAAAAAUUGCAACAUCCUGUUUCCACCAUCUUUUCAUAGACCCAUAGAAUUCUCCUAUAACUACAUUAUUUGCUCAUAACGUGUUGACGCGGAAUAUUUUCUGUUUCCACCAUAUUUUCUUAGACCCAUGGAAUUCUCCUAUAACUACAUUAUUUGCUCAUAACGUGUUGACGCAGAAUAUUUCUCUGCUGAAGAUCAUCGAGCGAGAGAGGGAGAGAAGGAAAGAGAGGUCUGCUUAGCUGAGCAAAUUACUGCUAUGGCAAGCUCAGAUGCUGGAACAUCAUCGGGAAGCGAGUACCAAGUGUUUCUGAGUUUCAGAGGACCUGAUACUCGGACUGGAUUUACCGAUGUCCUCUUUCAUAGCUUGAUCGACGUUGGAAUCCACGUGUUUCGAGACGAUGAAGAACUCCGUGUCGGUGAAAGAAUUGAUGGAUCGCUGCUACAAGCGAUCAACAACUCCAGGAUCUACAUACCGGUCUUCUCUCGGAACUAUGCUUCAAGCCAAUGGUGCCUUUGCGAGCUCGCACAGAUCGUGGCAAACACCUUGAAAUCGGAAGGUAAUAAAGAGAUCCUACCUAUUUUCUUUGAUGUGGAACCUAACGAUGUUAAAUUGAAAACUCCACUAUAUCACAAUGCCAUACUCAAUUUGGAGCACGAGAAGAAGUUGAGCAACGAGCAAGUAAAUGUUUGGAGAGAGGCCCUCAUGGAGGUUGAUGCCAUAAAGGGGUGGGAGGUGAAGAAAUACAAAGGGUAAGCUAGCUAUUUUCAAGAUACUUGUUUCCCCAAUUUUCCUAACACUUAAUAAUAGAUCUCAAAAUUCCAGUAUGAUUGAGGUGGGAGUUUUAUUAUAGUAAUACUAAAUGAUGAAUCUUUACGUCUGCAAAGCAAAAUGUGAAGACAUGAUAUUCAACUUCUACAGUUGUUGCUUGACAAUUGCACAAAUUUUUAUACAACAAUUUUGCUCGAAAAUCCCAAGGUUGCUACUCUCAUGUUGGAAUCAAGUUGAAUUUCAGGUCAUGACAUAGCAUCAACGUUGUCAAGGGCUUAAAAGUAUGUUUUGGAGAGACAUUAAUGUCCAAUAUGGACUUUUAGAAUAUCACUCCUAGGUUUAAGGUCCCAUUACUUAUCAGGUCAUUGUGUAGUUUAUCCGAUGCUUGAAUGACAUCACUUCUAGUUAUGUAAUCGUGAAUUUUCUCACUAAAAUGGAUUUUCAUUGUGGCAGCCACGGAGAACUAAUCAAAUUGGUUGUUGCGAAGGUUGUGGAAUGUUUGAAGUCAAAACAUAGAUUGGUGACUGAAUAUUUAGUUGGAAUCAAUGAUCAAGUAGUAACGGUAAGCAAAUUAUUAGAUGUCGAUUCCGAUGGUGUGCGACUCGUUAAAAUUUAUGGCAUGGGAGGUAUUGGAAAAACUACACUUGCCAAGGUCAUCUUCAACCGACUUUCUUCUCAUUUUGGAAAGUGUUGUUGUUUCCUUGAAGACGUUCGAGAGAAGUCGUCAAGAACCGAUGGCUUAGUUCACUUGCAAAAAAGGUUACUAUCCGAAAUCGGUCAUCCUGCAGGAACAAAGAACAUUGAUGACAUUGAUUAUGGAAUUAAGAGGAUUGGAGAAAUACUUUGUAAUAAGAAAGUCCUUAUUAUACUCGAUGAUGUUGAUAACAACAAACAAGUGGAGAAAUUAGUUGGACAGAGUACUUUAUAUUCAGGAUCCAGAAUAUUGAUUACAACUAGAAAUAAAGAUAUCUUGCAAGUCAAUAGACAAAAUUAUCAGAUUUUAGAUUAUGAAAUGGAGGUGAUGAGUGCUGGACAUGCACUUGAGCUUUUCAGUAGGCAUGCAUUUAACACAGACUUUCCUUCAGAUAAUUACAAUUAUCUUUCAAGGAAGAUUGUAUUUGCUACUGGGAGACUUCCAUUGGCUCUUGAGGUGAUUGGUCCAUUCCUCUGCCACAAACCACGAAAACUAUGGAAAGAGACAUUGCGUAAGUUAAGAAAAGCACCUCAUGAGGAUGUUUUUGGAAAGUUGAAGAUCAGCUAUGAUGCCUUAAAUUUCGAGCAACAACAAAUUUUCCUUGAUAUUGCAUGCUUUUUCAUCGGUAAAGAUAAGGCAAAUGCAAUCUACCUAUGGAAAGGUUGUGAGUUUUUCCCAG